GGACUGGUGUUCUAGGAGGGAGGCAGUUGAAGUGGUUGAGACAUUUGAAUGAGAUGGAGGAGGAACGGGAGAAGUUGUAGUGGAGAUUUGUUGCAGAGAGGAAGGUGGAGUAGCUGUGGAAGUGGAUGUGACAACAGUGUCAAAUUUGUUGAAGAACAGGUUGAGUUCAUCAGCCCUUUUCACAUCACCCACCACUGGCUGUCUUUUUUUUUUACUUCUGUGUCCAGAGAUGGUACUGAUUCCUCUCCACACUUCACAGAUGUUGUUGUGUUGUAGAUUCCUCUCUAUCUUGUUUUUGUACUCCAGCUUUGCCAUCUUCAGUCUCCUCUUCAACUCUUGUUGAACUUGUUUGAGUUGUUCUUUGUCACCAUCUUUAAAAGCUUUCUUUUUCUGGUUAAGGAUUGCUUUUAUGUCACUCGUGAUCCAGGGUUUGUUGUUGAGGAACAGUCUUUGUAGGUAUCAUUUUUAUUGUAUUUUAUUGUAUUGUAUUCAGUAGAGCAGUCAACCUGUUUAUCAACGUUCAUACUAUCCACAUCUGUUUCCAGCAGCACAUUCCAGUCUGUUGAUUUAAAACAGUCCCUUAGAGCUUCACUAGCUUGAGGUGUCCAUCUUCUUUUUUUGACUUUGGUCACAGGCUGCCUUAGUACACAAGGUCUGCAGCAGGUUUGCAGAUAGACCAAGUUAUGAUCUGACUUGCCCAGUGGUGGUAAGGCAGUGGCUCUGUAGGCUUCUUUGAUGUUGGCAUACACCAGAUCCAGGAUCUUGUUUCUCUGGUAUAAAAGUUCACAAACUGUGUGAAUCCAGUCAGGUGAGAGGAGAGGGUGACAUGGUUGAAGUCUCCUGAUAUUAUUAUUAGUACCUCCGGGCGUUGAGUCUGUAGCCUAGCAGCACUAUAAUGCAAAAGAUUGCAUGGAAUUUCUUCAGUUGAUUAGGGUGGGAUGUAAACAACUACUGUUAUGAUAUGACUAAAUUCUCUUGGAACAUAAUAUGGCAGAAGAGCAACUGCCAACAGUUCAAUGUCUGGACAACACAGCUUCUCCUUCACAGUUAUGUGUGAAGGGUUACACCAUCUCUGGUUGACAAAUAAAGCCAGACCUCCUCCUUUUUUCUUGCCACUAGCUUAAGCAUUUCUGUCUGAUCCUAUGAGAGUGAAGCCAGGUAGAUCUGCACUGGAGUCUGAGUUGUUUUGAUUCAAUCUCGUCUCUGACAACUGCCCUCCAUGUUAUACAAAACUAAAACUGACAUUAAAGCGUAUAAAAACUAAAGGAAAGCUGAGCAUUAAAAAAAUCUUAAUAAAGAUGAAAAAUGAAAAAUAAAAAACUAACUGAAACAAAAAACAAAAAGCCAAAAUGAAAUUUAAAUGAAAACUUAACUAUUAAUAAACAAAGAGGAGGGAAAGGGAAACAAUGUCUCUUAAAGGAGCUACACUAAUCGUCAAAAUUUUAUAUCACAAUUACGACACAUAAUCUCAUAAAUCUGAGACUGACUAAAUGGGAUGCUGGUUGGUCAAAUACUCAUGUUAUCUUAUAUGAAUGAAUGACUUUCCCUUCAAUAAAGUUCUUCUUCCAGUGUAAAACCUUCACACACUUACAAGUAAAAUGCUCUUACACACACUACUAAAAUGCUCUUAUACAUACUACUUAAAUGUUGUGUUCUCACACACACACUAAUGAAACGCUCUCACAUACACAAUUGAAACGCUCUUACAUACACUGCUGAAGAAUGGACUCAGUAGAGGAUGUGGUGGAGAGAUCUACACUGAGGAAGGUGGAGACUAUUCUAAAGAACGUGGAUCACCCACUUCACACCUUGAUGGACCAAGGGACCAAUGGUGGUGGACGGCUCCUCUCUCUUCACUGCAGGACAGAAAGAUUCACAAGACCUUUUGUACCAACAGCCAUCAGACUUUACAAUUCUUGUGUAAAUAGUAGAUAGUGUAUAACUCUUAUGUAAAUAAUAGAUCAUUUUUAGAAACAUUUUAUGUGAGACAACAGACAAUUGAAUUUCCCUUUGGGGAUUGAUAAAGUUCUUCUUAUCCUAUCUUAUCUUGAAAAGUGAUAGGAAGUUUGUCUCUUUUUAGAGAACCGUAUCUUUUGGAUCGACUCACUUCAAUGAUCGGGCUCUUUUGGCUCCCAAGUGGCUCCUCAGAUUUUUUUGUCACUUUAAUUAAUUGAUUAUGACCAAUUACUUAAUAUUAUGUGCCAGAUGAAUUACACUGAACAAAAAUAUAAAUGCAACACUUUUGUUUUUGCUCCCAUUUUUCAUGAGCUGAACUCAAAGAUCUAAGACUUUUCUAUGUAAACAAAAGACCUAUUUCUCUCAAAUAUUGUUGACAAAUGUGUCUAAAUCUGAGUUAGUUAUCGCUUCUCCUUUGCUGAGAUAAUCCAUCCACCUCACAGGUUUGAUCUAUGAAGAUGCUGAUUAAAAAGGUUGAUUAUUGCACCUGUGUGUCUUAGACCGGCAACAAUAAAAGGCCACUCUCAAAGGUGUAGUUUUAUCACACAGCACAAUGCCACAGAUGUCACAAGUUUUGAGGGAGCGUGUGAUUGGCAUGCUGACUGCAGGAAUGUCCACCAGAGCUGUUGCCUGUGAAUUGAAUGUUUAUUUCUACACCAUGAGCCGUCUCCAAAGGCGUUUCAGAGAAUUUGGCAGUACAUCCAACCGGCCUCACAACCGCAGACCACAUGUAACCACACCAGCCUCUACAUCCAGCAUCUUCAUCUCCAAGAUCAUCUGAGACCAGUCACCCGGAGAGCUGCUGCAGUAGUUGGUUCGUAUGACCAAAAUAUUUCUGCACAAACUGUCAGACACCAUGUGGGCAAAUGCUCACAUUCAAUGGCGUCUGGCACUUUGGAGAGGUGUCCUCUUCAUUGAUGACUCUUGGUUUUCACUGUACAGGGCAGAUGGCAGACAGCGUGUUUGGCGUCAUGUGGGUGAGGGGUUUGUUGAUGUCAAUGUUAUGAAUGGAGAGGCCCAAUGGAGGAGUCAUAUGUUAUGGACACGAACACAGUUGCAUGUUAUUGAUGACAUUUUGAAUGUACAGAGAUACAGUGACAAGAUCCUGGGGCCCAUUGUUGUGCCAUUUAUCCGUGACCAUCACCUUAUAUUGGAGCAUGAUAAUGCAUGGCCCCAUGUUGCAAUGAUCUGUACACAGUUCCUUGAAGCUGAAAACAUCUCAGUUCUUGCAUGGCCAGCAUACUCACCGGACAUAUCACUCAUUGAGCAUGUUUGGGAUGCUCUGGAUCGGCUUGUACGACAGCGUGUUCCAGUUCCUGUCAAUAUCCAGCAGCUUUGCACAGCCAUUGAAGAGAAGUGGACCAACAUUCCACAGGCCACGAUCAACAACCUGAUCAAUGUGAAGGAGAUGUGUUGCACUGCGUGAGGCAAAUGGUGGUCACACCAGAUACUGACUGGUUUUCUAACACAUACACCCCACCCCAAUACAGUAAAACUGCACAUUAUAGAAUGGCCUUUUUUUGUGGCCAGUCUAAGGCACACCUAAUAACAAUAAUAAUAACAAUACAUUUCAUUUAUAUGUGCCUUUCAGGGCACUCAAGGACACCUUACAGAAGAAUUAAAAUGACACAUCAAUAAAUUGUACAGUCAAUAAAAUACAAAUCAACACAACAAAAGUUUUUAAUAAAAAAGAUGUAAGUCGUGAGUAAGUCUGGACUCUGCAACAGAACAUUAUCGUCUGAGUGGGCCUGUCUCAAAUAAUGUGUCCUCAGAUGGGAUUUGAAAAUGAACAGUGAGUCAGUGUUCCUAAUGACAGGGGGGAGGGAGUUCCAAAGGAGGAAGGCAGAGCAGCAGACCUGAGCGUCCCUGUGCAAGAGUUGAUGUGGAAGUGUUCAGAGAGGCAUGGAGGAGCAAGGUUGUUGAUGGCCUUGAAUGUGUGAAUUUGUGAAAACCUGUGCAAUAAUGAUUCAGUCUAAUCAGCAUCUUGAUAUGCCACACCUGUGAGUUGGAUGGAUUAUCUCAGCAAUGGAUAAGUGUUCAAUAACAGAUUUAGACUAAUUUGUCAACAAUAUUUGAGAGCAAUAGGUCUUUUGUGUACAUAGGAAAAGUCUUAUAUGUUUGAGUUUAGCUCAUGAAAAAUGGAAGCAAUAACAAAAGUGUUGCGUUUAUAUUUUGGUUCAGUGUAAUAAUGUUGAAGAACAUGCAUUAAUAUUUAUUAUAUUAAAGUUCCUUUAUUAAUUAACUUUAUAGUGCUGCAAAAAGUAAAUUAUAAGGAGCAAAAACAGACAACUAUUUACACUAAACUUUUAAAAUAAAAUAAAACAAUUUAAAAAAAAAGUGAAACAAUAAAGGAACUUAUAUCAGGCAACGUAGUUAAAAUUAAACUGUAUAAAACAAAAAGAAAAAAAAAUCUGCAUCCAGAUAAGUCCUACACUGGGCUCUAUUGUUAUGUGUUAAUGGUGGCAUGGCAUAAGUGCUCAAGCUCACUUUGGUAUUUUGGUGAGCAGCGCAGCCCAGUGUAAGUAUCUCCCCCUCCCUAACUCAGCUUCUCCCAAUUGCAUAAGUAGCAGAGAUGGAGGGGAUAAGGCGUGGAGUGGAUUUAACACAGCCAAGUCCUGUUUUACCAAUCACAUCAGGUCCCCUCCUCACUUUUAAAUCCGCCAAUGGCGAAGUGUAUUACAAUUUUUGUUAAGUAGUCAAAGAGAUCAAGAGGUGGCUGAAGACAGCAACGCCACACAAUGGCGACAGAAGGCAGCCCCUCAACAAGUUGUUUAUUUUAUGUCAUUUGUUUUAGUCCAUCAGGUUUUAUUCUUUCUUUUCACCAUUUUUAUCUCUGUUUUUAUCUCCAGUGUUUCCUAAAGGUAGCUUUUUCCUCAUGUAAUGUCUCAGUGUCAGGCCAUGUCUCUCUAACAAUAUGGGCUCUAUUUUCGUGUACGAUGGUGAGGCGGCGGAGGGUGGCGGACCCCACGCAGUUGUAUUUUCGUCUGGCGGAGCCCGGCGUACAGCCAGUUUGGUAUUUUCGUGGACUGAGGCGCACCAAGAUCCGCCAAGCUGGGCGUGGUGGCGUGGCAGGGGGAGGUGUCGACAGAAUCAGCGGGUGCAGUGACAUUUUCGUGCUCACCGGUGGCGUGUAAAGUGCGCUGAAAGCUUGCCGUUUCAAACCUGGUCAGCUUUCAGCGCAGGCGGAGCGCAGCUGGUCUAGUGGUAUUUUGGUAGACCUGCGGCGUAACGGCAUACGUCGCCGAUGCCUCACCGGCAGGUUUCCACAGUGUCAGGCACAUUUCAGUGCAACAACAACUAUUAAUCUGAGUCAGCACAUACAUUUAGAUCUAUAUAGGUAUAUUCUGAUCUAUAUCUGAUCUGAUGAGCGCAUUUGGCACACGUUUGGACACACAACCUGACUGAAUUAACACAGCUGAAACUGAAAAUUAAAUUCAAUAUCUAGUAAACAAACACACAUGAUGAAGUUAACAAGAUAUGUAAUUCGUCUCCCUCCUUUUCUUUCUUCCUCUUCCUCUUAUUUCUCACGCAGCUUGACCUGGACAUGUGUCUGUGUCCUCUCUCCGUCCUGCAGCAGCAGCGGCUGAACAGAUGAUUUGUUUCAGUGAUCAGAUGAAUUUACUUUAAGCCUACAUACGGAUAUUAUAAUAUUCAGUUUUGUGAGCCAAAUUUAUUUUUUAUGCCAACAUCUAUGAAAGAAAGAGCCAGGCCACAGAGCGUGAUGCGUCAUUACGCACAGAUGGUUCCAAUUUUAAUGCCGUUUUUGGAGUUUAUGUUGUGAUCUGUGCCCACCCUUGUCAUGUGAGGUUUGAAUAUAUGCAACUUUAUGUGAGUGUCUUUAUUUGUGGAAAAGGAUGUUUGUCUUCAUUUCAUUUCCUUUUUAUUUGUUAAAGAGGGACAGUGUACAUUAACGAACAUUUUAAAAAGAUAAAAUGUAAAUGGACCCAAUUGUAGCCACAAGGCUAGUUUCCAUUGGUAGUCCCCCUGCCAGAAGGAACAUGGCUACCUAAAAAGGUGGGAAAUCAGCAACUACAUAAAAACAUACAUAAUACACAAUAUUUAAAACAUCAACAUUACCCACUCGAAAGCACGCCAACCAACUAAUGGGAACAAGUUUGGUUUUCAAGUAACCACCUCUUCAAAUUUACUUUAAAUGCUCUGUAUGAAUUGGAUUCGCUUAUGUUUUGUGGUAUUGUGUUCCAAUCCUUGCCUGCCCUACAAGAAAAAACUGACUGACCAAAUACAGAUUUUCUAAGUGGGAUCUGGCAGUCUCCUCUGGCCGCCCCUCUAGUACCACUGGUUGCUGGAGAUCUAAACUGUAUGAGGUUGCAGAGUGGGGGCGGAGCUACCCUAUGACGGAUUUUAUAUGUAAGACAGCAAUUUUUGAAAAGGACAAGAUUGUUCCAGCUUAAUAACCUAUAUUUUUGAAGAAUUGUGCAAUGAUGAAAAGAUCUUGGUUUUUUAUCCAGAGUUUUGAGUGCUUGUUUGUAUAGUGAUAUUAAUGGGUUUAAAGUAGUGGGGUUUGCGGUGGACCAGGCGGGUAAACAAUAAUUAAUAUGGGACAUUAUAAGAGAAAACAUGUACAUUUUUGCCGCUUCUGUUGACAUAUGAUUUCUGAGGUGCCUGAAAUUUCCAAGUGUGACCUUAAGAAUUUUGCUUACUUUUUUAACAUGAUGUUUAAAAGUAAGAUUACUGUCUAACACGAUACCUAAAUAUUUAUAUUCAUUUACAAUUUGGAUUCUUUGUCCAGAAAUAAAAACAUCAGGCUCAGUAUGUGAUUUGUUUGUUUUGGAAAAAAACAUAGCAACAGUUUUGGAGGUGUUAAGUUGUAAAUGGCAACUGUUCAGCCAAUUUGAGACUUUCACCAUGACCAUGAUCUUACCAGUGGGUCCAACAUUACACACACCAAAUCCAUCUGUGCUCAUAUGAGACAGUGUGGAGGACGCCCAAUGCAGGGCUUACAGCAACACUUGUUGAGGAGCUGCCUUCUGUCGCCAUCGUGUGGCAUUGCUGUCUUCACACAUCUUUUGAUCUCUUUGACUACUUCACUGAAAUUGUAAUAUGCCUCGCCAGUGGCGGAUUUAAAGGCAAGUAGAGGAGCUUAUGUGAUUGGUGAAAACAGGUCUCGGCUGUGUUAAACCCACUCCACGCCCUCUCUCCUUCCUCGCUUCGACUUACGCUGCUGGGAGGAGCUGAGUUAGGGAGGGGGGAUACUUACGCCGGGCUGCGCCGCUCACCAAAAUACCAAAUUGUGCUUGGGAACGCCUUGUCAGAGACGUGCCGCAGGCGCGGCGUAAGUCAGGUCCGCCGCGCCUGUGGCACGUCUCCGGCGAGGCACGAAAAUAGAGCCCAUCAAGUUGCAUCUAUUUAAACCCCAUGUGACAAAGGUUGGUUGUGCGCACAAAUCACAACAUAAACAAAUUCCAAUAAUGGCAUUAAAAUUGGAACCACCUGUGUGUAAAGGACGCAUCACACUCUGUGGCCUGGUACUUUCUUUCAUAGAUCUUGGCAUAUAAAAUAAACUCACACAACUGAAUAUUAUAAUAUUUGUAUGUUGGCCUAUCUCCGGAUUAAAUAUUUAACAUAAUUUUAAGGAUGUGAGAACAUCAGAUAAACAGGUUGUUUUGAAUGAUAGAUUAUUUAUUUUUUAAGUAAAUAAUUCAUCUGAUCACUAAAAUAAAUCAGCUGCCAUAAUAACAGCCUUGCCCCCACAGCAGCAGCAGGACGGGAACAGGACACAAAAGAUGUGUCCGGGUUGAGCUGCACGAGGAAGAAGAGGAAGAGAGAAAGGGGACGGGGGACUGAUGAAGUAUCUCGUUAACUUCAUCAUGUGAGACUGUUUACUGGAUAUUUAAUUCAAUGCGGUUUCAGCUGUUAAUCCAGUCAGUUGGAGUAUAAAGCAUGUGCCAAAUGCACUGAUCAGAUAAGAUAUAGUACAUCAGAAUACAUCAUUAUACAUCUAAACGUAUGUUUUGACUUAGAUAGUUGCACUGAACACUGGUUGUUGUUGAUUAUUUAUUGCAUUAAAAUGUGCCCGACACUGUGGAAACAUGCCUGUGAGGCAUCGUUGACGUUUGCCUACUAUCUCACUAUCUCUCGUGUGUGACUGGAUAUUAAAUUCAAUGCUGUUUGAGCUGUGUCUACCAGAAUACCACUAGAUCAGCUGCGCUUUGCCUGCACUGAAAGCAUACCAGGUUUGAAUCGGCAACCUUUCAGUGCACUUUACCCACUGCCGGCAAGCAUGAAAAUGUCACUGCACCAGCUGAUUCUGUGGUCACCUCCCCUUACCCCACCACCAUGCCCAGCUUGGCAGUUUAUUCCUUUUUUUCAUUAUUAUGACACAUUUUACGAGCAAGAUCAUCUGUAUAGAGUCAACAGACUGCAGGUAUUUAUGUGCAUUUGGUAAAAUUUCAUUUGAGCUAUUUAAGUGCAGUGUGUACAGACACACAAAUAGCUGUUCAAGCUGACUAACAGCAGAUGCAGAUGUGAUCAGCUGAUGCCGUCAUCACAAAGAGACAUCACUUUAUGUGGCGCUGAGGAGAAUGUCUCAUGUCUCUCUCCCCUUUUCCUCACAUCAGAUGUCCCCCUGUGACAUGAGUGGAAAUAUGUUUUUUAAAGUUUUCCCAUGUAUACUAAAAAAGUCUUUGAGUUAACCUCAGAGGUUUAUCAAACCUCAGUGCCCUGGGGGCACCUGACUGGGUUCCUUAAACCUGGACCUCAGCAUUCAGCACGCUACUGUCACACAAAAUUACCAAAGAGAAAUUCUUGUAAAGGAGAGAACCGAGAGAUUCAGAGUGAAAAUUGAACACAUUUCACUCUGAAUCUCUCUGUCUAUCACUUCUCCUCUUGCUCUCUCUCCUUGAGUAACAUUUAAUGUGGCUGUCAUUGUUUUUGGACCAGUGGCGAUUGCUCUAAGACUGCAAGGGAAGCUCAGCUUCCCUUAAAAUGUCACCCCCCCAAAAAAAGAAAAAGUGGUGAAAUACGUACUGCUGUGUGUACAUUUCAUUAACUAAAUACGCGCUAGAAAGCCUUCAUCUUUUGUUCAGAAUUCUUAUCACACUGUGAUAAGAAGCUGAUAAUCACAGGUAACCGGCACAACUUCGUUCUCAUUCAUCCUCGCAGCGCCUCAGUGCUUUACACAGCCGGACGCUCAGCGUCUGCUGACUUCAAUGUGGAAGCUCAAAGUGGGUUGUUCCAGCAGCGAAACUAGACGCUCAUUGGAUAAAUGCUGGGCUUUGUCCCGCCCAUCGGACGCUCAGCGUCUCUGGAGUUCUAUGGCGAGAGGGCGGUCCCAACUUUCUCGCGGACGCUGAGCUUCUGCAUUGGAUGAGCUGUCUGAGGCCAAACCUUUUUUUGAUUGACAGCUAAACAAGCUGAUCUUGAAGAAUAAAACAUCUACCAGAGCAUUUUCCAAGUUAUUCAUUCCGUUGUUCUUAACUGCUCCGGAGGCUUUACCGAUCCUCAGCGACUUUUGUCUUUGUUAAAAACGACUGCUGUUGUGUUUGGCGACUCUGUUCUGUUACAUACAAAUAAACAAACACAAUUAUGAUGUAGGCCAGAAAAAUGAGCUUCCCCUCCUUGAAAAUCCAGCAGCCGCCACUGUUUUGGACUCAGCUGCUCAUUUCAAAUGAUGUGAAAUCAAAGAGGAGCGUCACAGCGGCUGACUAAUCACCAGCCCUGAUGCAUAUAUUUUGGCCAUCAUGUUUGGGAAUAGAGAGAUUACUGGAUUGAGAGCCGUAUGUUGUUCAGCAGCGACCUUGGAGAGACCUGAAACACAGCUCUCUCCACUAAAGUGGCUUCAGCGGUGUAUCAAGCCUUUCAGAAAGCUCCCAAAUGCAAUUACAGUGGGGGAUUAUGUCCUGCACUGCACACUGGGAUAAACUCAAAUUGGCCACAGUGUGUGUUUAAGUGUAUGUUUUUGUGCAUGUGGAAGUAGAAAGGCUUGUUACUGGCAGCUGAUCCUCCCUCAGGGCAUCUGUUUCAGCACUAAGCCCUGUAAACAGCACUUAAAUACACACACUAUGCCAACUAUGUUUUUGAGUCUGUUUGGAGUGUGCCAGAUUUUUAUUUUUAUUUUUUUUUAGUGUUUAUUAUCAUCCAGCUGUGUCCAGCACAGCUCACGUCAGCCUGUUGGUAAAAAACAUUAGUCUCUGUCUCAGGAUGGUCUUGAGAGUGGGGAAAUAAUGACAUAAAGCCAACACAGAGGGCAGCCUAAGGAGCGAAUGGUCACAGAAAAGUGGAGCAACAUCCUGUCCUGCAAUCCAUGCACCUGCAGUAGAUCUGGUCAGGGCAUCUUUAAGGCUAUGGUGUACCAUCCCUGUCAAAUGUGUGUAUGCAUAAUUUUGACAUUUUGUAUUCAUGUUUGAAAACUUUAUGCAUAAAUAAAUGCUUCAUACCCCCCAAAAAUAUGGUUUUAUAUAUAUGAGUCAGCAAAUACUGAGUGUUUUAUGUAAGUAUAAAUCUCAAAUCUACGACUUCAAGCAGUCACAAAAACAAAUUAAUUUCUCCGCAUACAAACUUGUAUAUUUGGGUACGAGGCACGAAGCAUUAAAUGACGUCAUCAGAGCCACAGGCAGCAGGUAAGGCGACUUAACCAAGGCCUUAUACCAUUGAUUGCACAUUCGCAAUGAUGGCUUACAACAGUAAUGCUGCACUCUGACUUGGUAUCGCAGGGAAAGGUAAACAACAUUUUUUAUCGACAUUCCAGUUUUAUUUCAAUAACUUCAUUAUAAUUUACAUUUUUAAACACAUACAAGUUAUAGCAUUAGCCCACUUGGUCGCAAGCUAAGGUUUUCUCAUGUGGAAAAUGAGCAAAGAAAUAUACAGUACAGGCCAAAAGUUUGGACACACCUUCUCAUUCAGUGUCUUUUCUUAAUUUUUUUUAUAUGACUAUUUACAUUGUAGAUUAUCACUGAAGGCAUCAAAACUAUGAAUGAACACGUGGAAUUUUGUGUGAAAAAAAGUGUGAAAUAACUGAAAACGUGUUAUAUUCUAGUUUCUUUAAAGUAGCCACCCUUUGCUCUUGAUGACAGAAGUACUUAGUAACUGAGUCUGUUAGUCACGAAGUAACCCUGACAUGGCACACCUGUGAAGUAAAAACCAUUUCAGGUGACUACUUCAUGAAGCUCAUUGAGAGAACAGCAAAAGAUUGCAGCGCUAUCAAAAAAGCAAAGGGUGGCUACUUUGAGGAAUCUAAAAUAUAAAACACGUUUUUAGUUAUUUCACAUUUUUUUCUUAAGCACACGAUUCCAUAUGUGUUCAUACAUAGUUUUGAUGCCCUCAGUGAGAAUCUACAGUUUAAAUAGUAAUGAGAAUAAAGAAAAUGCAUUGAAUGAGAAGGUGUGUCCAAACUUUUGGCCUGUACUGUAUGUCACCCUUAAAACUCCUGUGAGGAACUCUCAGUUUCUGUCAAUUUCGGUGCCCCCCACUGACAACACAGUUUUUGCAUAUCAUGUCCUCUACGUGCUUAUGUAGCAAUUAUUGAUUUAAAAAAAAAAAAAAUCUCAUCCUGCUGACUUGUGACGCACAAACGUGUCAUUCAUUGUUAACAUUUUAUGUGGAAUAAGCAAAUAGGGCUUUUUUUAUUAGCUCCACUGACACCUACCACCUUACACAUGUUUGGGACAUUAAAAAAUAUGGUCAAAAAACAUACAUUUUAUCCCUGAUGGUCUUGUUUGCUUUUGUAUGUCUUUAUAAGGCAUCAUUGUGAAUUUCAGUUAAUUUCAUAAGCAUAAAAAAAAGUUGUCAGAGGAGCCUUCAUAACAAACCCCAAUUCCAAUUAAAGAUAUAUUUCAGCAUAAAACAAGUAAAAUUAACAGUACAUAGGGUCCUAGCCAUAGUACUAGCCACCAAACAUCUUUUUAGCUUUGCCUGAUUUCUUUAGCAAAGAGACUAAACACAACUCACCUACUCUUUUCCAGCAGCCGUUUGUUCGUACGGAGACCUCUGGGCGAGUCUAUUGAUUGAAGCAGGGUGUCGCAGCUCAAGGAAGAACAUUUAUGAUCAUGACUUUAUCAUUUACUUAAAGUAGUAAUCCUCAUAUUGAUCAUUUUGCUCUGCAGACGUGAUAGUUCUUCUGCCUUAGUGUCUCAGUUUGAUUGCAUUUCCAUGAUAAAGUAAUGAUCAUAAAUGUUCCUCCUUGAGCUGCGUCCCCCCGCUGUAGUCGAUGGACUCCCCUUCAGGUCUCCGUACAAACAAGCGGCUGCUAGUUUUCCAUAGUCAUAAGGACAGAGAAAUAUUCAGAAGAAUCAAUUAAACAGUACAUGUCAUGACUAUUCUAUUAGACAGGAUUGGACAUAGUCACUCACAUAUUUAUUAAUGGCAAUUAAUAUGUCUGUUACUCUGUCACUCAGGAUGUUAGUGUUGUUUCUCAUAAGGUGUAAGGCUUAGAGACAUUGAGGGAAGCCUGGUCUCAAUAGACAAAUAACAGAUGUAAAAAAGACAAAGCUUUCAUCUCACUUACUUGAAUGUUACAGAGUUGUGAACCUGUCAGUGGCUGUGUUUGCAUUGACAGCAAUGCUUGAACUAUAGAAAGUUUAAAAGUUGCAUCUAGGUCAAAUACAUUAAAAUGUUUUCAAAGGAGAAGUUCAGUUAAAUUUUCUGAUCUAGCCAUAACAGUAGCUCAGCUUACCUGUGCAGGUAAACACAUUGAAUGUCUAUGUGUUUGUCUCUGUUCUUUUGUUUUUCUGUCUCUGCUGUCUCUCCAGCCUCAGCAGAUGUCUGUCUUUUCUGAGGCCUUGUAAUGUUGUUCUCCUAUUGUACAAAGCCCAUUAUUUCACACAGAAAGUUAAAUAUGACUGAUGAAAACUUCAACUCCAAGGUUAAAAUGGUACCAUGUAAAAUCAUUGUUCAGUUCUGUGUUUAGUCGUCUAUAAAGUACAUACAACAUUGAUUUGCAGUUUUACAGUAUGAAUUGUAUAAAUUACCAUUUAUGAGAUAUGUUAUCCCUUUGUUUCACAGAAAUCCUGUGACACAGCAGAUUACCUGAAAGAAAAAGAAAACCACCGCACAGCCUCUAUGCUCCCCUAACAAAAGACAUCCAAACCCCCAAUUUACCAGCAAACACAGACGACACAUCCGCAGGAAUAAUGAGGCAGAAAAAGGUGUGCGACUGUCACUUUAUGACUGUGUGUGUGUGUGUGUGUGUGUGUGUGUGUGUGUGUGUGUGUGUGUGUGUGUGCGUGCGUGCGUGCGUGUGCGUGCAGCAUCCCUGCUAUGAGCCUAAUUAAAAGGCACUGGGUGCAGAGGGGGCCGCUUUAGCACCCAACCGAGUCCCUUUAUACCCCUGCUUCCCUGCCUCUCUAUCCCUGUCCUUUGAUUACCACUGAGCACUAAUGCCCCUCGACCGCUGCCGCAUAUGUGACCCUCUGAGGCUGAACGAGGAGGAAGACAGAAAUCCUCUUUCUCCUCCCGAUUUACUGUGACUGCUGAGAAGGGAAACCCUUCUUUUAUUAAAUGUUUGUCAAGUUAAAGUGAAAAGACUGAUUUUACAAAAGAUUCCAGGAAAGAAACACUAAGGAAUUUGACAUAAACAUAUCAGGAGUCUUUAACUCAGGCAUUUUGAUAUUUUCCCAAAAGGUUGUCAAGGUGACUUAGUUUUUACCCUACUAAUACCUUCACACAUGAACUUUUAUUGGGUUAGUUUUGAGGAUAAGUGAAAAUUGAAACUUUUCUUGGUUAAUGUCUACAAUUUUGCAUCACAUCCCAACAAUUUUUCAAGGAAUGUGUACUUCAUUCUUGCUUAAACUGUCAUUGAAAAUUCCUGAUUCCCUUUGACAGACCACCUCAUUUUGUCAGCAGACCUGGACAGAUCUGGACAUUUCUCUUCCCAAAUCUGGGGAGUUUAAAACCUGUGAAUUCGGGUCUGCCAAUAAAACCAUCACAGCUCUGUAGUUGGAAGCAUCAAUUUUGUGUCUCAGCUCAUUAGACGAUUGACAGGAUCAAUACUGUUGAAACUCAGCUUACCAUCUGCUUGAUCGCCUCUAUCUGCUGACAUUUGGUCAGUGACCUUUGACCUUGCUGGGAAAUGUCACAACACCAAAAGCAACCCUGAAAACCAGGGGUGCAAACACUCAUAUGAUCAGGAAAGUCUAAAAACAACCAUCUUCGAAUGACUCUCAUCUGUAAGAAAUUUUUCCUCUGACUUUGACGAUGAAAAAGACUGUUCUCUAAAGCAUUAUUCACAUGGGAUCACAUGGGACCUCUGUUCUUGUGUGUUGCCCUGAUGUCUGAAAUCUGAGAAUUACCUGCAUUUACUGACAUUUAUGAUCUAAAACACUGAAAUGCUGCUCAAGAUUCACCUUAACCCUGGGGGCAGUAUCACACCCUGCAGAGAACCCCCUAGCUGAGAUUCAUAAAAAAAAUUACAUUUCCACAUCAGAUCAAUCACCACAAGGACAGUGCAUUAAAAACAUGUCAAAGAAAUUUAUAUUCAAAUUUAUUGGCUGCCAGUUUGCACUGAGACUUUGGGCCUGAUCUACUAAGAUCCAAAAUAGCAAGCGCUAAAUUGCGCAAACUGAAAAAUGAGAGCGCUGAGUGUUUGAAACCAUGGAGUUGCACAUAUCCUUUUGGGGAACUGCAUAAAAGGUAAGGUAAGUUUAUUUGUACAGCACUGUUCAUACACAGAGAACUCCAAGUGCUUUACAGAUGCAAGAAGAUAGAAAUCAAAAAAGGGAUUAAAACAAUUUAAAAUCAAAAAGACAAACAGAUAAAUUUUUUCGUCUGUUUCGUGUUUGACCUUUUUAUUUAUGAAAAUCAUCAUUUACUGGAAAAACAAAAUAAAUCACAAGCUUUUGGACAAGGAUCAUUUCAUUUAUUCUUUAUUCCAUUCUUUUAAAAAUAAAAAGAAACAAUUAAAUUUAAAUACAAACGUUCUCCUAUCUGGAAUGAAAGGGAGCAGAGAGAAGACUAAUCUUACUUUAUCUGCCCCUUUAUCCCCAGAAAUCAAUUUACAAAGAACAAACUUAUAAUAAUAAUAAUAAUAAUAAUAAUAAUAAUAAUAAUAAUAAAAAGCAACAACAGCAUAAACAAAACACAACAAAAAAAUAUAUAAUGAAAUAAAAAUAUAGCUGCUGGCCACCACAGACAGUCAUUUACAUCCCAAGUUACAAUUCAGUUAAUGCCAUACAAACAACAACAAAAUUACAAUGGUAUGACAAUCAGAUAUAACUAACAUAUUUCCUUAUAUUUCCUUAAUAUACUGGCUUUUAUUUUUCUUUAAAAUGUAAUUUUUGACUUGGAUUCUUUGAUGUCUUUGUUCAGAUUGUUCCAUAAACUGAUUCCUUUUACAGAAAUACAAUGUUCCAUCAAUUUAGUUGGCAGAAAUCGUUUAUAUCCGACAUCUUCUGCAGAUAUGAACGAUUUCUGCCGACUUUGCAAAGUCAACUGCAGAAUUAACAGCGUUCUGAAUGAACAGGUUUGAUAGAUCACAGUGCAGGUGCUAAAUGAUUCCAUUUGCAUCCGCUCCUCCCAGAAUUUUGCACUGAUGAUCUACAUACAUUAUGCAUAUUCAUGAAGGCAAAGACGCUAAAUCGAUUGCGCACUGUUUUGCUCAUUUGACAGACGCAAUCCUCAGUGCACCCGGUUAGUUGAUCAGGUUUUUGUGUGCUAUCAGGUUUGCACGUGUUUUUGCACACACAAACCUUUAGUAGAUCAAGCCCUUGGUUGUUGGUUUCCCCAUCUGUUACAGCAGUGGGGAUACUGGUUUGAAGGUGUCUGCACAGGUAAUUUAGUGCUUUCAAGCAAAAUUAAGUAGUAAAAGAGUCCGCUGGCCCACCUAAGCUGAAGCCCCUUUAAGCUUAAAAUAAGAAUCAUUUUAGAUGAAAAUUCUUUUCCUCAAGAUAAAAUCCUGGACUCUUUCAGCUUAUAUUCAACUGCAAUUUUAUUUGAAAGCCCUGGACCAUUUCGGCAGAAUUUUUUUUUUUACCCGUUUCAGCUUUAAGUCCUGGCUGUUUAGCUAAUAGCUGUGGCCCAUUUAGCCUCAAAUCAUAGUUCCUUUAUUGCUGAUAGUACUGACCCAUUUUGAUUGAAAGUUUAGCUGAGAAUAGCCCAAACCAGCUCACUGCUCCUUCCUCUUUAACCCCAAUUGGCUAAUCAAACUUACAGAAACAAGUUGAAGCAAAUCUGCAAGAUCAGUAAUUGUUACAGGCUUUAAAAUUUUAGAGUGCUACAGUAUAAUGCUGUAUACUCUUAUUUGGCCCAUUUUACCUGAUGUUUGCAUCUUCCUUUAAGUACAGAUCUCUGUUGAGGGUUUUUUUUUGGAAAGUUUUACUAAGUCUUUAAUUGAUUAUGUGAUGAUGCUUCUCUGUGAUUUGUGUUUUGAAUGUCUAUGUUUUACGGUUCUAACUGGCAUUACCAUGAGUGAGUGAGUGAAUGACUGACUGACUGACUGACUGACUGACUGACUGACUGACUGACUGACUGACUGAAUGAAUGUAUGAAUGAAUGAAUGAAUAAAUGAAUGAAUGAAUGAAUGAAGUGUAUAAAGCAGUCAAAUCCGAAUGAUCAAACUCUGGUCUGAGUCAGGCUGGUCUCUUAAAAGCUGAAGGGAGGAGUGAAGGACAUCAUUGAUAGAUAAAGGUCAAACUUAUUCACUUUAAUCCUUUGAUUUUUUUUUAUCAUUUGAGUCAUAUUAAAGUUGAAAUUUGGUUUAAACACACAUGAUAUUAGCUUAAUAUUUCUGACUGAGUGCUGUUUUUGAUGUCAUGUGGGUGACCUUUGUGAAACAUGAAUUUUAAGGUAUGAUAACCUUUAAUUAUCCAGCAGCAGAGGCAUUAGCAUCAUUCAAGGCCAUGUGGGUGACUCAGUGAUCGAAGCCUGUCUAAACACAGAGGCAGCAGGUAGUGCAAACUAAGUUUCUGAGCUGUUUUAGCUCUCUGAUUUACAGAUUUACUGACAUUUUUUUAUCAAUCUGAGAUUUUCACAUCCCUCAUCUGUACUCUGACCAUGUACACAAGAUCUUAGUAUGAAAGUGUUACCUUAAAGUGUCCAUCAACACAUCUUAACCCAGGACUAUAUACAUUGUGACAACAAUUGAUGACUGAUAAUCAUGAUGAUGAUUUUCCUGAGUAAAAGCGGUUGUUAUUCUCUGACAUUCUCAGAAAAUCACAUCAUCCUUAAACUCUGUGAAAUAUCCUCAGAAAGCCUCACACACUGAAUGUUUCUGUAACAUGGAAUAAAUAAUCUAUCUGUUGGUGGGAAAUAACUCCUACACACAAUUUUGAUAAAUCAUUUGAGGUUGUUAAAAGACAGAAAACUGUUUAACAAUGGAGUUAAUUUUCAAUAUUUUUAGUGUUUUAAAUACUUUAACACUUAAACACCAAAUCAAAAAUGCAAUAAAAAGUCAGCGUGGGCCUUUCAGAAGGCUGAUAUGCUCCUGUGCCUCCAUUAUCAAAACUAACUCAUAAAACACAGGUGACAUCUUAGUGACCCAUUGGUUUCUGAAGCAGCAUUUGAAAUCCAUGUGGUCACCAUAUUGGAAAUGCUGACUUAUCCUAACUCUUGGACAGAAGUGGAGUUGUGGGGGAGCCUCCUUCUUAACAGCUACAGGGUGCCUACAUGUCAGUCAAGUCAGCUCUGCCUCUAAUUAUGCAAAACACAUUUAUUUCUGCUUGAUAGAAGGGCUUUACUGAAUGCGUAUGUGGCUUCCAAGCUUUGGCAACCUGCUUCAAGAAGACAACCAAUGAACUGCAGUUCUGAGCACUUAAGUAAUGGUUUUCAAUCGUUUAAAUCUCUUUUUCAUUUCAAAUGUAUUUUCUUGCAUCUGUAAAGCACUUUGAAUUGCCUUGUAUAUGAGGGAGUGAGAGAGAUUAACAGAGGAGUGACAUGAGCUGUCUUGGACUGGUUGAAGACCAGACUUCCUGCUGUGUUCUGGAUCAUUUGCAGAAGUUUAACAUCGCAUGUAGGGAGGCCUGUACCAGGAGCUGUGUUGAAUGCUCUGGCAGGUAUGGUCUGAUCCUCUUGAUGUGAUAGAGGGCAAAUCAGCAGGACCGAGCAAUCAAGGCUGUAUGAAUCUGAAAGGUUAGCUGGUCAUAAAUCAUGACACCUACAUUUUAAGCUGACUUAGUAGGCAUUUAACUGGCCUACGCAUUCUGAGCAUGCUCCAGAGUUUACAUUGCUGGGCUUAGAGGUAGAACAGCAAAAACACUGAGCAAGGAAGCUGGGUAGUAAACAAAACCUUGACAAAUGAAUAGAGGACAGUAAAAAGACCAAGCUGUCAUAGUUAAAAUAUAUAAAGCUCAGAAAGUGACUGUGUUUUCAUGUUUGAUUAACAUCCUACAUGGCGUAGUAGGUCAACCAGGAGACCGCCCAAAAGUUAUGAGCAGAAAAAUGACAUAUUACCACUGACUGUGGCGGAGGCAGACAUGCUUCUAUCGAUAAAUCAAUUCCCUCCAGAUGUAAGGACAGUAGAGAAUCCAUUUACAUUUCCUGGAACAAAGAGAGUAGUUCAAAUAAAUUACUGUGCAUGUUAACAUACUGAUGGGCUCAAAAUCAUUCCAAAAAAGAACAUAAUCUGUGAACACAGAUCAUCACUUCAUCUAUAAAUUCAGGUGAAAACGUUUUCAUGCAAAGUUGGAACCAUAAAUACUGCAUGUGGUUCUCUGUCCUCUCUGGGUCUGAGUCUAUUAAGGAUUGACUGAAGAGGAGAGAGGCCACCUGGCUUGUUGUCUGUGCACAGAUCAUAAGGCAGUUUCCAUGGAAUGGGAACAUUAAUGCUAAACAGUACAGGUUUUGGCGCAACAUAUGCUGCCACAUGGAGAAUGACUCUUUCAGAGAGAACCAAAAAGAUGUCAAUUUUACACUACUGCAUGGCUCUGUAGUAGAAGGGUCCAGGCUUUAGUCCUGAUAUAUAACCCAUCACAAUCCUUACAAAGAAAAUAGGACAUCAGAGACCCCCGAAAGAGCAGCUGACACCUUAUAUCAAACAAGAUUUUACUUCCCAAACUCCAGAAACUGGUUAGUUUGUAAAUCUUUUUGACAACAGGUUUAAUCUGGUUUGGUUUUCCUUACAACUAUUCUAAUCGAAGUUGUUUGUGUAUUCCCAGUUUUAUUAAGUAAAUGAUGGAAACAGUGCCAUUGUUUCUUGUAUCGUCCAGCAGGCAGUUAUCAGUACGGAGGCCUCAGUGGCUGGGUCAGCUGCAGAGGCUAAUGCUGUAUUGAGCUGUGGACAGACUGAGGGUCAGGAGGCCUGAGAGGUGCAGCUGCUUCACACCUGGGGCCCAGGGGGGAGGAGGUGGUGAAGGUUGGUAAGUGAUCUCAGGACUCCCCUCCAUCACGAGGAGACAGAGGCAUCCCUCAGUAAAUCCAUCUUUCUAACAACAGUGACCAUUAUCAGCCCCUCAUUUAUUCAUUCAUGUCAGCAGCUGCUUUUGUCUCCACUGACGCUUGACAUUUGGGGAGCUGCAGACCAACACAGUCUAUCUCUUUCUCUCUCACUGCAGGAAACUUUGACAGGGAUGUCUGAUUUAAAUGUGCAUAAAGCUCUGUUUAGGUGAAGCUGGUUUCCAUCACUAUAACAUCUCAGAAAAGUUGUGCAGCAAUAAAAGUCGGACAACUUAAAACAAAGGCCCCCAUUUAAAUAGCGAUUUAUGAAUUUCAUUAAUAAUGACAUUGCAAACUACAUCAUCACAGACCAGUUAUUUGCUCCUGGUGUUAAUAUUCAUGAUAUUUUAAUGAGCUGAGAAAUGCCUCUAAUUCAGAAAGCUGUCUGGUAUUUAGAUCUAAUUGGGUAAUGCUGAAAAGCUCCUGACCACUUUAUGGCUGCAUAAAAACGUCCAACUGUUUAUAUACUCGUUGAAUUUUAUUUUUACGUCUUCAUUGUGAGGCACUGUAGACCUGUGUGAACUGUAUGAUCUUUUUAGCAUGCUCAUCAUGUUACAGACCCAAAACAGGCUUAAUUUAGGUGAAAAGUGACCCAGCGGUCCAACACGACAUACACAGAACAGACUCAGAGAGGACUGAUUUACUGUAGCACUUACUGUAAGUCCGUGUUGUAUUCAAACUUCAAACUGAAUCGGAAUCAUCUGUCUCUGCAUAGCAGGGUCGACUUAAACAUUUUUGCGGACUUGGUCACUUAACCUGUUAAACUGUUUCACAAUUUAGGUGAAAAUUUCUCCAAAUAAGGUUUUAUCCCAGGUAAUGCUGUGAUAUAUUUUAAAAAAUAUGAGCUUAGACCUUAAAAGAGUGGAGUAACUUUAACAAAAGCCUGUAAAAGCCAGGUCUCUCCAUUGACAUGAACAACAAAAACAAACAUUAAAAUGAAGAUGAAAAAAAAAAAACAGCAAUUUGUGUUAAAUAAAGACCCAGACCUCAAUGACUUCAUGGAUCAGAGUGGACCUCGGUAAGGUCUUGGAUUUUAGCCCCUUUUUGGGCCAAAUGAAACCUUGCACAUACAGUAAGCUACCACCGUUAUGUUGUGCCUUAACCAACGUCAAUGCCUGACAUUGCACCUCAUAUUUUUGUCUGCUUUCCGUUUUUCCUCAUAUCACAGUUUAAAUCACCUUUCCUGUCACAACAUGACUACAGACCAGUGGCCCUCACUUCACAUAUCAUAAAAAAAAAACCCUGGAGUGGUUACUGAGCAGUGUUGAUGCUCAUUUCCAACCACUGUCCAGACCUUUUCUGUAGGAAUAGCUUUUGCUGGACCUCGAGGAUUUUUCUUUUCAAAUUCCCUUUCAACAGCCGAUUAAGGCCACCCCCUCUUCCUCACUAAUAGGUCCUUGCUUUGCAUCCAGAGUGCCUGUGCAAUAGAUGUUCCGAAAGUUAGCAAAUCCCUCUGAAAAGAAGAACCAAUGGCAGAACCGAUUUAUUUGUUUGUUUUUCUAUUUGCCAGACAAUGCCACCCUGGGAAUUUCACACAGAAAAUUCUUCCUUUUUUUUUUCUUCCUAACAAAAAUAAUAAUAAAAAUAGUAGAGCAAAAUAAUAAAGCAACACAAGCAAAACACACACACACACACACACACACACACACACACACACAAAAUACACUAACCAAGAUGCAGUUAACAUAAAUUAACUGUUCAAAUAAAACAAUCAAAUUAUAUUAAAACAAACGAAAACUACCUACCCCCCCCCCCCCCCCAAAAAAAAAAAAAAAAAAAAAAAAAAACACAAACUACCCAAAACCAAAUUAGGAAGCCAAAGGAGUAAGAAAUUGACAAAAUCCAAAUAAUCAACCAAAAAAAUAAACCUAUACACAAUAACCCUAAACAAAAAGAAGGCCAACCUAAACAAAUUACAAAUAUACAAAGACACCUAAGUAAAACAAUGAAGGCAUACCUGUUGCAGCCAAGCACCUACUGUAGCAGCAGCACAGGAGCGCAAAGAGAGACAAGCAGGGAGGAGUCACAGCUUAUACUCUCUCCUUCUGUUUGGUGGUUGGACACCUGCGGCGCUCAAUUACUACAGCAGCUCACCGCACAGAUAAAAAAAAAUAUAUAUAUAUAUAUAUUAUUUCUAUGCUGCCACAUGUGGAUGAAGUAAUAUGCUAUUAGUGCACCAAGAGCAUCAACGACGCCCAUGAACUUGUUGUACAAACAGAUGAUGUUUGGGAAUUCCACUGAGACUUUCUGUUUUAACUUCCUAUCCCACCUGUUGGAAACAGGCUGGGCACUGGCAAAAGUUCUGGCAAUGAUCACCCCUCUGUUGUCAAACCAUUCAACUGCUCUCAUCUCCACACUGUCUACAACAGCCUGUUGUUCUUCAAAUGUCAAAUGUCCAUCUUCCAUUCUGCUUGCUUCUCUAGUUAUACCAACUUUAGUAAUGACCGCACGAUAGCAAUGCACGGCAACUUCAAGAGCCACACGCUCAUCCAAAAUGCCACUCUAUAGCCGCAAAUAAUACUCAGAGCAGCACCUAACUUCAUCAACAGGACAUAUAGGGUCCCAGCCAUAGCACUAGCUACCAAACAUCUUUUUAGCUUUGCCUGAUUUCUUUAGCAAAGAGACUAAACACAACUUACCCUCUCUCUUCCAGCAGCCGCUUGUUUGUACAGAGACCUUGUGCGAGUCUAUCAUGACUGCAGCGGGGUGAUGCAGCUCAAGGAAGAACAUUUAUGAUCAUUUUUUCAUGGAAAUGCAAUCAGACCGAGAGGCUAAGGCAGAAGAACUACCAUGUCUGCAGUGCAAAUUGAUUAAUAUGGGGAUUAUGACUUUAAGGAAAUGAUUAAAUAAAAUUGUAUUGUAUUAAAUGUAGGUUUUCAUUUCAGGUAAUACUAUUUGUGAGAUAUACACAUUUCUUCCAUUUUGUAUUAAUAUCAUUACAUUGUAGGUCUUUGUUCCAUUUGUCAUACUAGUGAUGGGAAGAACAUUUCUUUUGACUGUACUGAAUCUUUAGAAUCCGUUCAUUAAAAGGAUUCGUUCAAAAGAUUUGUUUACCAAAUCAGUCAGUGCUCUGGAGCUCCGUCCUGCCGGUGCAGUCCAGGAGUGAGUGGCACAGUGGCGCCGAUCAUGAACUUGUUCAUUGAACGAGCCCCUCCCCUCCCCUGCUGCUGAAGUCACAGCAUCGUUCACUGGGUGACACAUGUCAUUCGCUGUGAGUAAAUCACAAGACUUCACCCGCCCACCCCCUCACUGGCUGGCUCUGUGUCGUUCACCAAAGAGUCAAUGGUGGCAGUGAUACUCCCAACCGGCACUCCAGGCUUGUGGCUGAACUAAGAAAGGAACAAAUCAGGUCUCGGAGUGAUUCCAUUCACGUCGUCCACUCAGCAGUUCCGUUCUUUUGAACGGAAAGUUCAUGAGCGACACAACAGCCAGUAGUGGGUGAUCUGGAAAGGGCUGAUGAGCUCAACUUGUUCUUCAACAGAUAUGACACUGCUGUCACACCCACUUCCACUGCUACUACACCUUCCUCUCCACAACAAAUCUCCACUACAACUUUUCCUAUUCCUCCUCCAUCUCGUUCAAAUGUCUCAACCACUUCCACUACCUCCCUCCUAGCACACCAGUCCUUGUCUGUCACUGAAACAGGGGUGAGGGUGGAGCUUGGAAGACUUUGUCCUGGGAAGGCAGCAGGUCCAGAUGGUGUGUGUCCAAGGCUGCUUAGAGACUGUGCUGCAGAACUGUGUCAACCUCUCUGCAGGAUCUUUAACCUGAGUCUACAGCUGGGGCAAGUACCUACUCUGUGGAAAACAUCCUGCAUUGUGUCAGUACCAAAAACAAAAUGUCCUGCCGAACUCAAUGACUACAGACCAGUGGCCCUCACUUCACACAUCAUGAAAACCCUGGAGGGGCUGAUGCUACGUCUUCUGAGGUCUGAGGUCAAAGACAAACUGGAUUCCCUUCAGUUUGCACACUAAGAACACAUUGGAGUGGAUGAUGCUGUCCUCUACAUGCUUCACUGUGCCCUGUCUCAUCUGGAGGAACUUGGGGUUUAUGUGAGGAUCAUGUUCUUCAACUAUUCAAGUGCAUUCAACACCAUCCAAUCCACCAUACUAAAAGACAGGCUCAACAGAGAUGGGAGUGGAUGUCAGGCUGGGGGACUGUGUUUCUGGGACAUUAAUGAGCAGUACAGGGGCUCCACAAGCGACAGUGCUGGUGCCAUUCCUGUUCACACUGUACACAUCAGACUUCAAAUACAGCACUGAGUUCUGCCACAUCCAGAAAUACUCAGAUGACAUCGCUAUUGUGGCAUUUAUCAGAAAUGAACAAGAAGCUGAAUACAGAGAUCUGAUAAGAGCCUUCAGCGACUGGAGUCACCACAAAGACAAAGGAGAUGGUCAUAGACUUUCGUAGAUCCAAACCCCCUCUUCAGCCAGUGAACACCUGUAGAGUAGACAUAGAAGUGGUGACAUCAUAUAAAUACCUAGGUGUACGCCUGGAUAAUAAUUUGGAUUGGUCUAAGAACAUAGGGCUCUAUUUUCGCAACUCACCGGAAACGUGCCGGAGACGUGCCACAGGCGCGGCGUAAGUCAGGUCCGCUGCGCCGACAAGGCGUUCCCAAGCACAAUUUGGUAUUUUGGUGAGAGGCGCAGCCCGGCGUAAGUAUCCCCCCUCCCUAACUCAGCUCCUCCCAGCGGCGUAAGUCGUUGCAAGGGAGGAAAGAGGGCGUGGAGUGGGUUAACACAGGCGAGACCAGUUUUCACCAAUCACAUAAGCUCCUCUCCUUGCCUUUAAAUCCGCCACCGGCGAGGCAUAUUACUAUUUUCGUGAAUUAGUCAGAGAGAUCAAGAGAUGUCUGAAGACAGUAAUGCCACAAGAUGGCGACAGAAGACAGCCCCUCAACAAGUGUCACUGUAAGCGCUGCAUUGGGCGUCCGCCACACUCUCUCAUAUGAGCACAGACGGAUUUGGUGUGUGUAAUGUUGGACCCACUGGUAAGACAAACACCCUUUUCCACAAAUAAAGACACUCACAUAAAGUUGCAUAUAUUCAAACCUCACGUGACAAAGGUGGGCUGUGCGCACAGAUCACAACAUAAAUUCCAAUAAUGGCAUUAAAAUCCAUCUGUGAGUAAAUGACACAUCGUGCUCCGUGGCCUGGCUCUUUCUUUCAUAGAUGUUGGCAUAUAAAAUAAAUGUGCCUCACAAAACUGAAUAUUAUAAUAUCCGUAUGUUGGCUUAAAGUCGAUAACUCAUCUGGGGCCUCAUGUAUCAACACUUGCGUGGGACUCAUACCAGAAACGAGCGCACGCAAGGUCCGUCACGCUGAAAAAAAUCUGUAUGUAUCAAGGUGUGCGGGUGCCGAAAGCCACGUGUGUUUCCUUGAUAAAUCCCAAUCAGCUUGGAAUUGAGCGCAGAUUUCGGAGUGACCGGGCCCGCCCCCGUUACGCCCUGCUAUAAAUAUGCAGAUUUAUUUAAAUAGGGUCUCCCUGUCCUCGCACGCAGACAAAAUGACAAGAAAAACUAAAUUUACGGCGUGCGAUGUGGAGGUGCUGGUGGCGGAGGUGGAGGAGCGUCAGCGUGUUUUGUUUGGCAGCCUGUCCAGUGGCGUCAGUGCAAAACGAAAACGCUUGGAGUGGGAGAAAGUUUGCGAGAGGAUGAACGCGGUGGGUUCCGAGACACGCACCCCCACGGAGAUUAAAAAAAGGUGGUAGGACCUCAAGGUGGAGAUCAAGCGGUGUACAGCUGCCCUCCGGAGGACUACCGGCCAGAGAGGUGGGGUUCCGGGGGAGGAGACCCUCACGCCGUUUGAGCAGCGGGUGGUGGCGAUUAUUAUUACAGGGUUAGUGGCGUGUCACACAAAUGUCCACAUGCUUUGCCAUCCCACUGAACAAAAGACGUAUAUUAGACGUCUAGUCUAAGUUUAUACUUCAUUUCAACGUCGGGAUUCAGUCUAUUUUUAGACGUGAUUUAUACUUCGCCCUUAACUUCAUUUUUCGAUAACUUUUUAUGCAAUAAACAACUGUAAUGUGCAUAACUGACCUCUAAAUACUGGAUUACAUUACCUAUGAUACCGUGGAGAGAGAUGUAAACGCUACAGAUACACAGAAGCAGGAAUUGAAAUGAAGCAAUAUUUUUAUUGUGUCACAGAAAUCAAUGUGUCGGCCGUGUCGCCGGCUUGCGGAACCCCAGCCCGCAGCAGCCCGUCCGCCGGCUCGCAGUCGUCGGCCAGGACCAGCGGCAUUUGGGCCACCCUGGCCCCCAGCACCAGCAUCAGCACCAGCCCGCUGACAAGCGGUGGAGCGUCCACCAGCCACGGCGCUUCCGCUGGCCCACCCGGACGCAGUGGAAGGGUCCUCACGGAGGCGGUCCUGCAAUCGCAGGAAGAAAUCAUCAGGGGGAUCGCGGGGAUCAACGAGCGGCUGGACCGGCUCGUAAAUGUCCUCGAGCGUCUGGUGGCAAAAAUAAAUUAAUUUGGCUCAUUGAACUGUGUAUUCACUUCUUACCCAUUCACACUGUGGCGAUGAGAUUCUCCCGCGCGAGGACGGCGGCCCGGCAGGGAUCAGCUCGCAUCCCUCCGUCUGCUGCUGGUUCGUCAUGUGGGGCGACGUGCUGCUCGGCCACGGGGAUGUGGUGCACGCUUGUCACAUAGUGAGUCACCAAACACCGCCACACAGCGUUGCCAAAGUGCUGUCAACGCAAGUAUCUGCUCAACGCCAACUUCUACACCACCUCCUCACUUUGCGUUGAUUAGCGCUGGAACCGACGCUUGUGUCGCGAUGAUAAAUCAGGACGUGUGUGCUGAUCUUGGCGGACACAAGGUUUUCUGGCGCCGCCAGCGUUGAUACAUGAGGCCCCUGAUCACUGAAACAAAUCAUCUGUUAAGCUGCUGCUGCAGCAGGACGGAGAGAGGACACGAAGACGUGUCCAGGUCGAGCUGCACGAGAAAUAAGAGGAAGAAAGAAAAGGAGGGAGACGAAUCACAUAUCUUGUUAACUUCAUCAUGUGUGUUUAUUUACUAGAUAUUUAAUUUAAUUUAAUGCGGUUUUAGCUGUGAUGAUUCGGUCAGGUUGUGUGUCCAAACGCGUGCCAAACGCGCUCAUCAGAUCAGAUAUAGAUCAGAAUAUAUCGAUUUAGAUCUAAAUGUAUGUGCUAACUCAGAUCAUUAGAUGUUGAUGAUUAUGAUUGUUUAUUGCACUGAAAUGUGUCAGACACUGUGGAAACCUGCCGGUGAGGCAUCGGUGACGUAUGCCGAUACGCCGCCGGUCUACCAAAAUACUACUGGACCAGCUGCACUCCGCCUGCGCUGAAAGCUGACCAGGUUUGAAUCGGCGGGCUUUCAGCGCACUUUACACGCCAGUGGCGAGCACGAAAAUGUCACUGCGCCCGCUGAUUCUGUCGACACCUCCCCCUGCCACACCACCACGCCCAGCUUGGCGGAUCUCGGUUCACCUCCGUGCGCCUUAGUCCACGAAAAUACCAAACUGGCUGUACGCCGGGCUGCGCCAGACGAAAAUACAACUGCGCGGGGCUCGCCGCCCUCCUCCGCCUUACGGGCGUACACGAAAAUAGAGCCCAUAGACUUCAUCUACAGAACGAGGCAGAGCCGCCUCUUUUGCCUGAAAAGACUUCGAUCAAUAGACAUCUGUACUAAGAUGCUGCAGAUGUUUUAUCAAGUGUUCUGUUCUACACUGCAGUCUGCUGGGGAGGAAGCAUCAAACACAAAGAUGCAAGACGUCUUAGCAAACUGGUGAAAAAGGCUGGCUCUGUGGUUGGACUCAAGCUGGACUCAUUGGAGGAUGUAGUGGAGAGAUCUACACUGAGGAAGGUAGAGACUAUUCUAAAGAACAUGGAUCACCCACUUCACAACAGCUUGAUGGACCAAAGGGCCAAUGGUGGUGGACGGCUCCUCUCUCUUCGCUGCAGGACAGAAAGAUUCAGAAGAUCUUUUGUAACAACAGCCAUCAGAAUUUAUACCUCUUGUAGUAGGCUCAGACUGGCAAUAGGGAGAGGCAGGACUUUUCCCGGUGGCCUGCCUCCUUAUUGGCCUGCCUGGCCUGGCCGCACUGGCAGGCCAAUGAAAAAAAGCUGGUCUGCUGUUUCCAGGCAGACAGGCCAGGGACAGCAAUGCUGCCUGCAGAGUACACGCCCCCCUUCUGCCACUCACACAAAGCACGCGCUCUGAGCACUGGGAUCAGAGGGGUUGGGAUUUGUCAAAAUGUCGUGAUUGGUCAGUUGCUUUUUGGCCCGCCCCUUCGCAGUGUAAACAGGAAAACAAACACAGAGCACCGAGACGGGUUUAUUCGAGAGCGAGGCAAGAGUCUGGCCCAAAAAACUUCACAGGUGUCAGGUGGGUUGCAAGAAGCCCUAAAACGUUUGAGACCCCCUCUUCAGGUAAGAUGGGCUGUUGACUUACAAUUUUCAGUUUUACAGUGAAUAUUGAUGUUAGCAUGUACUAUUAGCUAUGACCAGCAGACAUCUAAAUGAUUUGCAGACAAAAUAAUACCAACAUUUUGUUUAUUUCCAUAUAUUAUGUAAAUAAAAGGACAAAAGGAAACAUUUGGUGAGGGUAGUGAAGAGAUUAGAGAAGAGAAAAGUCCUGGGGCCUCAUUUAUAAAGCUUGCUUACGCACAAAACCUGGCUAGAAAGUGCUUACGCCACUUCUUACGCAAGAGUUGGGAUUUAUAAAAGAAAAACUAGUGUAGGAAUGUGCGCAACUUUAAGCAAACUCCACACCUUGCUUACGCACUUUUUGGAGACAAUCGGAGCAAGGUGAAUUUACAAAUGUGCAAAAAAACAAAUUCCAUUUACAUGCGUUUGUUUUAAGAUUAAUAUGACUAAAUCUUUUUGGUUUACGAACUUUCACCACAUAAGCAGCGGUGGAUAACGGAGCAGUUUUUUUGGAACACAUGCAUGAGUGUCACACGUGCUUGUUCUUUCUGAUCCUCACCUGUCGCCACGCUCCGACGGUGCAAAGCCACGUUUUUCUUUGCCUCCACCUUUAGAUCAGACCACUUCUUCAUGAUUUCGGCACAGUGUUGUUUUCGUCAACAUCAUCGUCAACGAAAACAAAACUCCACGUGUUUGCGCGCACGCGGGUGUGUGUCUGUGUGUUGGAGGAGUACAGCAGGCUGAUGAGAGCUGUCAGAGCGGACAGAAGCUGCUCCUAUAUGUUUAGCGUUUAACUGACUGAGUUUUGCAACUCUGUUCGUCAUUUUCGUCUUGUCCCAUCAACGUAAAAGCACUUUCGUCUCGUCACAGUUUAGUCAUCUCCGACUUAUGUUUAGCUCAUCAACGUUACGUCUUCGUCGUGGAAGAAAAGGGAAAUAUUUUCGUCAACGAAAACAACCAGUGUUGUUCUCGUUGACGAAAAUAUUUCCCUUUUUUGACGCUGGCGUUGACGAAAAUAUUUGACGAAAUAUGGAGAAAACAACACUGUUUCGGCAACGCUGCGCUCAGUGCCAGCCGCAAUUACCGCCACGGCAACGGCGUUUUUAUUGGUGAUGCCACUCGAAUGGCCGCCGAAUAAGGUCUCCCGUCUCGCCGCCACCCCAUUUACAAGAACCUCCACCUCGGUCUCUGAAAAGUUUCUUUUUCUACGACUUGCUGAUGCCAUGAUGAAGCGUGAAAUGCCGUGGAUCCAUCAGGCUUAUUUAUAUGCAAAUCACAUUCAUGAGGUAAUUUGCAUGACCAUACAUGGUGAAUUUUGGGUGUGGAGAGGGCGGGGAAGAAUCAAAUCCCUGCUGCGCAACUUUCCGGCUGGUCUGUGAUUUAGAAAGGGAAAGUGCAUGCAGGUGUGCGUAGGCAGGGUUUUAUAAAUCAGAUUUUUUUUUUUUGCCUACGCACUUUUCAGCUUUUCAACUUACGUACACUUUUAGUAUGGAUCCUACGCCAGGUUUUAUAAAUGAGGCCCCUGGACUGUGUGGAGCUGUCGUCAUGGUUGUGUUUAAUAGGGUGGUGUUGUGUUACUUUACUGUCAGUUUAAUAGUGUUGGUGUAUUUGCUGUAACAUAACUGUAAAAGGAAGGUUUUUUGGAGGGAAAAAAAAUAAUAAAAUUCUGCGCAUCACCCCAUAUAACACUACCCUCGUGGUGGCGGAAGUGGCCUGGCUGACUGGGAAUCUCCUGGCCUGAAUUUCUCUCUCAGUCGGGCCCUGUUUUAGAGACAUGUCAAGUAAGACAAUGGACAAUUGAAUUUCCCUUCGGGGAUUAAUAAAGUUCUUAUUCUUAUUCCUAACACUAUGUCAUACAGCUUUUCCAUUGAGUACAGUUUAGAUUGUUCCUUGAGCAGCAUGUUGUAUACAGUUCCAAUUAGCGGUUUCUUUUUCCACCUUUAACCAAAAAGUCCUCAAAGGGUCCAGGGACUAGAUCAUAUUUUCAUUUAAAGUUUUCUUUAAUCCAGUUCCUAAACUGUAGAUAUCUAAAAAACUCUAUGUUUUCGAAGGCAAAGUGGGUCUGGAGCUCUAUAAAUGGAACAACAUAGUUAUUUUCAGUUAUGUCUGAGAGGUACUGCAUACCUUUUUCCCUCCAACUCUCCCAGUUAAGUUCCCUUUUUUGAAAUUUUAUUGAAUAAUUAUUCCAGAUCUUUGUUUUCUUGGGUAUGCUUCCACUGCUAAAACUAGGAAUUCUUCGAGGCCAAGAGCUUUGUUAUUUUGCAUGUUUCUCCUAGCGCGAAUAGUUUCUUCUACCGUAAAAUAAUGAGUCAAGUUCUUUAGCAGAAUCUGAGUUUAAAACUAGAAAACUGAGGCUAUCUCGGAACAAGUUCAUUUUGGUGGUGUCAGGUGGAGAUUCAGAUUCAUAUAAAGAGGAACAGAAUGAGUGAAAAACAGAAUUAAGGAAUAAUUCUGUAGGAAUAAAUUGAGCAUCAAUAAAAAUAAUAAUCAAUCUGAGAAAAAGACUGAUGCAUUUGUGGAAAGAAAGAAAAUUCCUUGGCAUGGGGGUUGUAAAAUCUCCAAGGAUCAAAGCAACCUUUUUGGACAUGAAAUCAGAAAGAGACCUGGGGCCUCAUUUAUAAAACCUGGCGUAGGAUUCAUACUAAAAGUGUACGUAAGUUGAAAAGCUGAAAAGUGCGUAGGCCAAAAAAAAAUCUGAUUUAUAAAACCCUGCCUAUGCACACCUGCACGCACUUUCCCUUUAUAAAUCACAGACCAGCCGGAAAGUUGCGCAGCAGGGAUUUGAUUCAUGCCCCGCCCUCCCACACCCAAGAUUCACCAUGUAUGGUCAUGCAAAUUACGUCAUGAAUGUGAUUUGCAUAUAAAUAAGCCUGAUGGCUCCACGGCAUUUCACGCUUAAUCAUCGCAUCAGCAAGUCGUAGAAAAAGAAACUUUUCGGAGACCGAGGUGGAGGUUCUUGUAAAUGAGGUGGCGGCGAGCAAGAGACCUUAUUCGGCGGCCAUUCGAGUGGCAUCACCAAUAAAAGAAAAGCCACCGAAUGGCACGCCGUUGCCGUGGCGGUAAGUGCGGCUGGCACUGAGCGCAGCGUUGCCGAAAUCAGGAAGAAAUGGCUGAUCUAAAGGUGGAGGCAAAGAAAAAAGUGGCUUUGCACCGUCGGAGCGUGGCGGCGACAGGUUGAGGAUCAGAAAACACAAGCACGUGUGACACUCAUGCAUGUGUUAAAAAAAAAAACUGCUCCGUUAUCCACCGCUGCUCAUGUGGUGAAAGUUCGUAAACCAAAAAGAUUUAGUCAUAUUAAUCUUAAAACAAAUGCAUGUAAAUGGAAUUAGUUUUUUUGCACAUUUGUAAUUUAACAUUGGCAAACUUUCUACACUGCCACAGUGGGGUCUGCACUUUCUGUGAGCAUCACUGCCUGGUACAGCAGCUGCAGUUCUCAGGACAGAAAGGCUGCAUCGAGUCAUCCGUUGUGCUGAACGCAUCACCCGGACUGCACUGCCCGGCCUCCAGGACAUCUACACCCAGUGGUGCAAGUCCAGGGCAAGACGGAUUAUCAAACACUCACCAUCCCAACCACAGACUGUUUGAGCGGCUGCCCUCGGGUAAGAGGCUUCGCUCCAUCAGAGCCAGGACUGAGAGGCUGAAAAGGAGCUUCCCCCGGGCCACUCGGAUCCUGAACUCCUCAUAACACACACCCCAUAAAUGGCUUCACAACACCCUCUGAACAGACUUUACAUUAUUAUUAUUCUGUUUUUUUGGCACAAUCGCAGACGUCACUUUCAUUUCACUGCCACUGUACCUGUACAUUUAGGCAUGUGACAAAUAAAACUUGAAACUUGUGCGGCAUUGCGCACGACUGUCACUGUAUGGCUUUUUAUAUGCGCGCUUUCCAUUAACCAUGUGUUCUCACCUUGCUCCGAUUGUCUCCAAAAAGUGCGUAAGCAAGGUGUGGAGUUUGCUUAAAGUUGCGCACAUUCCUACACUAGUUUUUUUUUAAUAAAUCCCAGCUCUUGCUUAAGAAGUGGCGUAAGCACUUUCAAGCCAGGUUUUGUGCGUAAGCAAGCUUUAUAAAUGAGGCCCCUGGACAUUAAUGAUAAAGUCAGAGUUCAUGGGUUAGAGCCAUUUAGAUUGGGAUUAAUUAAACAAUUCAUGUCCCCUCCAAUUAUAAGGAGCUUGUUAUUCGAUAAACGAAGACAUUCAAAAAGCUUAUUCAUAAAGUGUGGAUCAUUAAAAUUUGGGGCAUGUAUGUUAACUAAUAAAAUGGGAACAUGGAAUAGUGUACCUGUAAUAAUUAAGUAUCUUCCAUUUUUGUCUGAUAUAACCUUAGAAGCUGAAAACUGAAUUGACUUACCAAUUAAAAUGGCAACCCCCCUGGCUUUAGAGUUGAAAUUUGAGUGAAACACCUCAAAAAAACCCAAGGACAUUUAAGUCUGACCUGAUCUUUGGAAUGCAUGUGGGUUUUCUGGGGGUCCAGCUGUAAAACAAAAGGAGACUUGAAAAAAACGUAUCUUCAGCACCAUAAAGAGGCGGCAAUAUAAUGGUGUUAAUGAUAAGAAUAAGAAUAAGAAUAGCUUUAUUAAUCCCCGAAGGGAAAUUCAAUUAUCUGUUGUCUCACAAAAUAUGUCUCUAACAGUUAUCAAAGUUUAUUUAUAUAGCACUGUUCAUACAAAUGAAAUUGCAGCUUAAAGUGCUUUACAUCAGGACAAGAAAAGAAAAAAAAAAGUUAUUAAAAUAGACUAAAACAGACAAUAAAAUAUUAACUUGAAUUUAUUAAUAAAAGAAAGUAAAACGUGAUACUAAAAAAUAAAUUAAUUAUAAUAGUAAUUAAAAUAAUAAAGCUUUAUAUAUAAGCCAGGCUAAAUAGAUAAGUUUUUAGGUAAUGUUUAAAAAUUUCAAUAUUUGCAGCUUGUCUCAGACCCUCUGGAAGUUUGUUCCACAGUUUCGGAGCAUAGCAGCAAAAAGAAGCAUCAUCAAAUCUUUUUGUUCCGCUCUGUGGAAUGACUAAAAGAGAAGAUUGAGAGGAUCUGAGAGGCCGCCCUGGUUCAUAAAUUAAAAUCAUCUUUGAAUGGUAUUCUGGUGCCAGGCCAUGUAGAGCUUUAUAAACUAGUAAAAGAAUUUUAAAAUCUAUGCGAAAACUAACAGGCAGCCAGUGCAAAGACUAUAAAAUGGGUAUAAUAUAAGCUCUUCCCCUGGUCCUAGUCAAAACUCUAGCAGCAGAGUUUUGGAUAAGUUGUAGCUGGUUUAUUGUGCUUUUUGGUAGACCAAAGAGAAGAGUGUUACAGUAGUCAAGCCUGCUGGUUAUAAAAGCGUGCAUUAGUCUCUCUGUCUGGCUCAGAGAAAGAAACGGUCGUACUUUUGCUAUGUUUUUAAGAUGGUAAAAGGCUGUUUUAGUGACACCCCUAGCACGAGUUUUAAAAUUAAAAUCAAAGACCACCCCGAGAUUUCAUGCUUCUUGGCUGGGGUUAAGUCCUAUUUUGUGGAGUUUGGGGGUCAGUUUCUCUCUCUGAGCCUUUGAACCAAUUAUUAAAACCUCUGUUUUGUCCUGGUUGAGCUACCAUUUACAUAAGAGUUAUAAAGUCUGAUGGCUGUUGGUACAAAAGAUCUUUUGAACCUUUCUGUCCUGCAGUGAAGAGAGUGGAGCCGUCCACCACCAUUGGCCCUUUGGUCCAUCAAGGUGUUGUGGAGUGGGUGAUCCAUGUUCUGUAGAAUAGUCUCCACCUUCCUCAGUGUAGAUCUCUCCACCCCAUCCUCCAGCGAGUCCAGCUUGAAUCCUACCACAUAACCAGCCUUUUUCACCCGUUUUUGAAUUUCAUCUUAGUGGCUUUGUAUGCUGGCUGCCACAUGUCAUAAAAAGGAGAAGAGACAUACAAGAAGCAACAGCUGCUGGCAAGCUAGCUGAAAUAUCCCCCUGAGAGAUGUUCAAGAUUUACCAUUAAUCCAAAAACAACAUUAGAGCACAUGUCUCUCCAGGACAUGGAACAUUUAUACUUUUUAAAAGUUAUUUAACUGUUUUAUUUAUUUAUUUUAGUCUUUUGGGAUUUACAUGCAGUUGUGCACUCAGAAAUGAAAGCAUAGUUUGGCAAUGUGGGACGUAUAGCAACCUAAAAGCAAGAAAAAUAUCAUAAUAAAAGCAUGAUAAUAGUUCUAUAAGGAAAAGUCUUAUCUAAGAAGUGUCGGUCUCAUGGUUGAUGAUAAAUUAAAAUGUUUUAGAAAUGGGUGAUGAUAUUUAAUAAUAAUAAGAAUGCAUCAGAGCACUUUAUCAGAGACCACAGUGGUGGUAAACUACCUUAGCAGUCACAGCUGCCCUGGGGCAGACUGACAGAAAUAUGGCUGCCAGUUUGCACCUACAGCCUCUCCGACCACCACCACACAACACUCAACACACAAUCAUACACCAGUGGAGGAAACACACUGGGAGCAAGGUGGGUUUAAGUGUCUUCCCCAUGAACACAACAGACAGACUCGGGAUACAGUGGAAUUGAACCGCCAACCUUCCAGUUGUUGGAUGACCGCUCUACCUCCUUAGCUACUGCUGCCCCAUAUGAGAAAAAUGCACUAAUUAAAGGGGACCUGCCAUCAAAAUGUAAUUUUGUGUGAGUAUUUUGUGUCAGAUAAGGUCCAUAUUAUGUUCGUCUUAUGUUGUAAAUGUGAAAACAAACCGUUACGUCGUUUGCAUUCUGUAAAGGUUUAAAAUAAAGGAACGGGUAAACCAGGCCAAUUGAAAAAGCAGGUCCCUCUGACGUUGCGCUGACCUUGCUCAUUAUUAUUCACGAGCACGUCCUCGGUGAGCCGCGCCCACUCUCUCUUUCUCGUACUCAUUCCCAGUCAACAUCACUCUCCAUACUAGCCAGCGCGAGACCCAGCUACCACUGUAUCCGCUAUGGGUCUCUUCCAAACGACCGGUGUUUCCUUGGGUUCACUGCCGGGAAAAUGAACUUAAAGCUGGGCAGAAUGAAUGAGAAAACACCACUGGAGAUCUCUGGCUUCUUCAACUUCCACCUCCUCUUCGGACUCGGGGUCUAAAAUAUAAUACCUGCCAUACCGGUUUAAUACCUGCCAUUUUUAGCCUUUAGUAUAAGAUGACCAGACGUCCCCGAUUUCCGGGGACAGUCCCCGUAUUGGAUGACCUGUCCCCGGCUAAAGCUGUCCCCGAAAAUGUCCCCGAUUUAAGCGUUUCAUGAACGAGAGCAAAAAUGUUGCGUGUGGGUUCGAACAACGGUUAUUACAGUAGCCGAAUAGGUAGGAAGCACAGGUAAGCAGUCCUGAUCAACAGUUUUUAAGGGGGUUAUUACAAGGGGCAUGCGCUGCUACUAAACAGUACCGAGAUUUUGUCUGUGAUCACACAGCCCCUGCACCCUCCCCGCAGCCGCCGCUGCACCGAAUAUCCCCAGAUAUCAUUACAGACAUCUGGGCACCUUACUUUAGCACACAUUAGCAAAAUGGAUAAACUGAAAUCCGAACCUCCACUGCUGAGCCAAUCAGAGCACAGCAGGCUUCACAGCAGCGAUCCAAUCAGAGCAAAGCUCAUUACCAUAAAUGUUAAUGAGCCAAAACCAGUUGGUUUUCCUGUAAGGUUUUUUAGGCAUACUAAAACAAACCAUCAAAUAACUUUUCAGCUAAAAUUAUGUUGCAAACAUGAUCAGAUGACAUCAAGGAUUAUGAAAAAAUGAUAAAAAUGGGUAUGAAAUUUUGAUGGCAGGUCCCCUUUAAAGCUCAUGUGAUCUUUCAGUUUGUGUUGUUUCUGAUUGUCUUGUUUGUCAUGUAAGGUCACCAAUAUGAAUUUCAGUGUAUUUGGAAAAUGUCCAAAAAUUAAAAAGAAAAAAACCUCCUCAUAAAAGCUUUAAAGUUUAUGAAGUAAUGUGUAGCUCCACCCUUGUCUAGCCUUUCCUUGGAAUCAUUAUUUCAAAACAAACUUAAUUUCAUCUAAAUUACUGUUCUCUUUCUGCUUGUAUGAGCUGGGAUCUCCAGGGAAACACAGAGGAAGUCAGAAAAGUCAUCCUAGCUGGAUUUCCUGCUGGCUCACCGAGAAUUAACGAGGUCAGGUCUUCUGUGGCCUCAUUUGAGCAGUAAUAUUCCUGAAAGCACGUCAGGACAAAACAGUGAGGAUCUGUUUUAAUCUGCGUACCAUCAGGAGAUGGCCCUGGUAUUCAGGAGACAUGUUCCAACAUAACUUAAAGUAAAUGAGCUGGGACUCUAUUUGCACAUGUUCAGGACACUUCACUAACUUUUUAGAGCCGCUGCCUCUGUGAACACCUCAUGAAUGUGAACUUUGAGGACUUUUUUGUAACUAGAGGAUGGGUUGCAACCUUUAUUCUGGUUUAAACAUCAAAGGGACAAUACAAAGAUGUCACUGAUUGCUAAGAGAUUGAGACUGACAGAAAUGGAUAAAAGCCAGUAGUGUUAAAUCUCAAAGCUCUCAUUACUCUGUGCCGAUUUUCUCUUCUGAUCUGGAGCACUUAAAUGCAGUCUCACUUUUGCAUCAUUUUAUAAAGGAGGGAUGUUUUGAUUUUCUUUACGGGUAAACUUUAGAGAUAAUGUUUACACCUCUCAAAAAAUAUUGUUAGUUUCAGAUUUAAACCCCAAAAUGGUCUAAAAUCCGUUAAUAGGAGUUGACAAUCAGGCUUGAUGAAGGGAUGAGAAUAAAUCUAUCGGCCUCAGCAGAGUGAUGGAUUUAUUCUUGUCUCCAUGCUCAUCUUUAAUUGGGUCACAUUAGACCAUUUAGCUCUGCAAGAACCAUCCCUUUCUGCUCCAAAACAGCUCACACAGACUAGUUUUGGGGCAGAGUCCUUCACAACCAACACGCACUCCUCACUACGGUGUAGAUACUGUCUGCUGUCUCAAUGUGCUGCUGCAAUGACGCUAAGUAAUGCAAAAAUGAUAAUGUCAAACUCUGAUACAGACAUGAGAUUUUUAUAAUCCUUUUAAACAAACUUCCUUGUUAAAAUGAACCCACACUAUUUACUAUUGAUAGUCAAACAGAUGUCCCAGAAAGUACCAGAAGUACCAGAAACCAGACACUCACUAGGCCAAAUAAAUGAAUGAAUAAAUAAAAUUAUUUAGAGCAAAAAUGAACAGAUUUACUCUCUAGUUCAAAAAUGGUUUCAAUUAACUCAGGACUCCCACAGCACCCACAGAACAGGAGGUGUAUUUUUGUUUUCAAGUUGUUAUAGUUACAAGAUCGGUGAAUCAGAGACUUGACUGUUAGUGGAAGCACUGUAGCUGUUUGUGAGGGAGCUAACUGUGGGUUUGCUUUCCAGUACAGUUCACCUUUUCCCCUUGCUUUCUGAAUUAGAUUAUGUUUAUUCUGGUGCAUUUGCAUGGGCACCAAAGUAUUUUGAUCCUUUUGUAAAUCAAGUUUUUCUGUUUUAAAGAUGUUGGCCUGUGACAUUUUCUUUUCAAUUAAUCAGUUCUUCAUUGAUCUGUCUCAGCCUCAGUUCUGUAGAUGUCCUCAACAUGGUUUGUUCUGGUGUCUUUAACCUUGAACCUCCUUAAAUGAGCCAACUUCUAUCUGUAGACAGAUAUCCCAACAGAUCAUCCUUUAGGAUCUGGGAUUACAGCUGCAGCCCUAACAAAUGUGUGUGCUAAAAAGACAGGCCAAAAGUUUGGAUGCAAGAUCAGAUUUGAACAAAAAAAGAUCAUAGUUUCAUAUAUAUACUUAGCAGCACAAUAAACAUGACUAUUGUGUAAAGAGUAACUUAUCAGAAGACAUUUUGACUAUAAUUACGAGGUAUUUGAGUUAUUGUUGCUUAGACUUUGCUUUCUUUAAAGUAGCCUACUCUGGCUCUAACAACAGCUUGGCGUACACCAGGCAUUCGUUCCACAAGUGUUUUAAGGUAUGUUCUAGGGAUUGCAUUCCAAGCUUUCUUAAGUUCAUUAAAAAGAGACUGCUGAUUCGUGGGACGUGCUUUUCUGACCAAUCGAUCCAAUUCAUCCUGCACAAGCUCAAUUGAGAAAGGUCUGGAGACUGAGGGGGCCAAACCAUCUUUUGAAGAACACCUUCCUCUUCUUUUUUGUCAAGGUAACCCUGACAGAGCUUGGCAGAGUGCUUAGGGUCAUUGUCUUGCUGCAAAACAAACUUAUGAGCCACAAGUCUGAGUCCAGAUGGAACAGCAUGGUGCUGGAGGAUGGAGUGGUACUGUUCCUCCUUCAUGAUACCCUUUACUUCAAACAAAUCUCCUACUCCAUCACCUGCAAAACAUCCCUAUACCAUGGAACUACCACCUCCAUGCUGAAUUGUGGGUGUAACACAUGGUGCUUUCAGACGUUCACCAGUUUGUCUGCGGACAUAGACUCUGCGUUUUGAACCAAACAGUUCAAACUUGCUUUCAUCGGUCCAGAGAAUUUGUUUCUAGUCAUCAUAAGUCCAAUUUGCCCACUUUUGCCCACUCAUAUCUCUUUUUCUUGUUCUGUGGACGAAGUAGUGUUUUUUUGCAGAUACACAACCCUUCAGAUCAGCCUUUCUCAAAAGUCAAAGAUAUGACUUUCGACCUUGUCAUGUUGAUUUCCUCCCUUAUUUUUUGUGCUGUCUUUGGCCGAUCUCUUUUAAUGGUGACAAUUCUAUGUUUAUCCUCUGCUUUUGUAGUAACUCUCUUUCGUCCAGGCCUUUUUCUAUCAUCAUAACUUCCAGGUUCCUCUAGUCUCUUCAGAGUGUAGUGGACUCCUUUGUUAGACACCUUUAGUUGUUUUGCAAUUUCUCUUUCUGUGUACCCUUCUUUCCUCAAUGUACAAAUCUGUACUUUUGUUUCUUUACUCAGUUGCUUCUUUCUAGCCAUUUUUGCGGUAGUUUGAAUGCAGUUGAGAUUUAUUAGGAUUUCUGUAUGCAGACUCUCAAAAGCCAAAAAGUUGAAGUGAAUAAUCCUACUUAGUGGUGGGCAAAACCGUUCAUUUCAGUGAACCGGAUCAUUCCGGGUCAUUCAGUAAAAAGACCCGUUCAUUUCGUUCAUUUCGGUCAAUCGGUCAUUAGUCAGUCCGCUCGUUCAUGUUGUUCACGUUCGUUCAGACGCUGAGCGAACGGACUGACUGCACUUCAGACUCAACAGCGCAACAACAUGUGAUCUUGAAAUCUGAAGCAUUACACCCCUCCGGAUCCGAUGUUGCGAGCGUCUCAGCUCCCCGGUCCGACGUUACGACGCCCCCGCGGUCCGACGCUGUGACCGCUGCACUCCCCACUUCCCACCCCCGGUCCAACGCUGCGAUCGCGCUGCACUCCUUGUAAUAUAAAAUUAUAGUAGGAGUAACAAAAUAUAUAAGGUUUUUAAUGGUUUUAUUAUUUUGAGGUGCAUUAAAAACAAUAAUAAAAAGUACAAAAUGUCAACAGACAGUGCAAAUGCGUAUUAAUAGUUGUCUCUCUGCCUCUGGCUGCAGCAGCAGCUGUGUGCCUUUGUGUGUGUGUGACUGUCCCGCUCGCUCGGGCUCGGCUGUCGGCUCGUCGGCUGUCGGCGGCCAGUCAACUCGGUCUUUCAGUCAACUCGUUCAUCUGUCUGGAUCUUUCGUUCACUCGGUCUUUCAGUCAACUCGUUCACCGUCUGGAUCUUUCGUUCACUCGGUCUUUCAGCCAACUCGUUCACCAUCUGGAUCUUUCGUUCACUCGGUCUUUCAGUCAACUCGUUCACCGUCUGGAUCUUUCGUUCACUCAGUCUUUCAGUCAACUCGUUCAUCCGUCUGGGUCUUUCGUUCAACUCGGUCUUUCGUUCAACUCGGUCUUUUGUUCAUUUGACCUGUUCUUUCAGUCAACUCGGUCAUCCCGGUCUUUCAGUCAGCUCAGUAGUACUGCUGCUGCUUCUCUAAGCCCCACCCACACACAGAACGAGGUGCGACGAUAGGAUAAGACAGGCAAGCACGGAGAUAGUCCCUCUUCAGCCAAUCAAAAGAACUGAACGGACUGAACGGGUCAUUUGGGGGGGGGGGGACUAGUUCAUUUCGUUCACCAAAAAGAACUAGUUCUUUUGAUCCGUUCGUUCAAGACCGACACACCACUAAUCCUACUGUGAUUUGUUUUUUGCUUUUGCACUGAAGUUGUGACUCUUGCAAAUGUUUUCAACCCUAAAACUAAGCCCUAAUUAUCUUUUGCUGACAUAUAUUUAGCAAUGGUCUGUUAACAUCAAUGUAUAUCUAAAGGUAAAUGGAGUAAAAUGGUGCAGUUCCAUGAAAGCAACAUCUGAUCAUGGAGUAAAUACAUCCCAAAAUACAUACAACUCAUGUUGGAUUUUUAAAAAAGCAUUGUGAACAAAAACUUGAAGUUACUCCCAACUAUUCGGCCUGUAAUGGCCUUGCUUCCAAACUUUUGGCCUGUAGUGUAUAACGUAUCACAAGUAGGAUGUUAUAGUAGAAAUAAUCACGACAUCACCCUGCAUUGUCCUUGCAGCCCAUUAUCCUGUACUCUGAAUUUUUCUUAGUCUGAUAUAGUGUUUUAAAGUAGAGUUAAUUAAAUACAGCAGCUUAUUCUCCUAAACUCUCAGAGGUCCUGUGUAAUGAUGUCUAAGCUGCAGCUGUCCAACACAGCCUUAAUAGAGUUGUACAGGAAUGUAAUAUUCAUGUUUCUGGGAUUAUGACACAGACCCUCAUCAGAUCUCAUUUUCAAGUGUUCUUUUCAGCCUUUCUGCAUUUUAAUUUGUCUUUCUGCAUCUAUGAUUAGAUUAUGAAGAGUUAUCAGCCUUAUGCUGGCGCAGGUGACUUGUCCAGACAGCCUUCAGGGAGUUGUAUGUCCGGUACACUUUUUUACUUAUUUUUUGAUGGAUCCAAUAACCUGCAGAAAUUAAAACUGGCAAAUGAGAGGGAUUUACGUCCUUGGUCUGCAGCCCAAAUAUCAUAUUCAUAGUGCAUCCACCAUCAAAACCCAAGAAUUUUAGCGGAAGGGUGAUGCAGUAAAAUGACAAUUAAAAUCUGGAUAUGGGCAGACAGAUGUUAAGCUUCAUAUUAGCUGUUGAAAAAUAUUUUAUCAUCAGUCCCAGUGUUGUCUCAUUCCCAUAAUCCCUGUGCUCAGACUGGAUCAUUAGCAGAGAGAUGUGAGAUGACCAUUACAGAGGCUGCCUCAUUGAUGCUGAUCAUAGCAGACAAAGCAGUCAUGGUGAAAAUAAUGCCUCUUCUGUCUGCCUUUUCAGCAGAUGGAGAAUUAUCCUGACACCCCAAACAGUAAAGACAAAAAAGGGAAAAGGCAUGAAAUAGGCUACCACUCAAACUUGAAAAGUGAGGUGAUGAUAUCAGUGUUCUCCAUAACACUGGCUUCUCUUGUCCGAAUAAACUCACAGAAAACAGAAAUCCAGAAAGCUGCUGUGUCAUCCCUGCUGGUCUAUGUAUGCUUGCAAAGAGCAUCACACACAGAUCAAAGUGUUAGUAAUGAGAAACGAGCAUAUCUACAAGUCAAGAAACAAAAACAGUAUUGCUGUUUCUUGGGACUUGAGAUUAAAGUGCAGUGAAACAAAUGUCCAGAACAGAGGAAUGAAUAAUCGGUGCAUAUCCCUCAACUAUCAACUCAACUCAACUCAUCUUUAUUUAUAAAGCACUUUAAAACAACCACAGAUGAACAAAGUGCUCUACAUUCAUUGGCAAACACAGCUCAGACAUUAAAACAACUGAAAAGAAUAGAUAAAAGUAAGCAGAUAAUAAUCACUAAAAUAACAGUUUCAUUGUUUUUAAAAACGAAUUUAAAAACAAUAGAAACAACUAAAAUCAAACCAUAAAACACUAAAACAGGAGCAGAGUCUCGUGCGGGGUUUAAAAGCCAAGGAAUAAAAAUGAUUUGUAAGUAGGGUUGGGUACCAAGAACCGGUUCCUAAUGUCCGGUUCUGGUACCGUUAAGCAGAUUUUUGUAUUCUGAUUCUUUUUUUUUCUUUUGGUUGGGAGAGCCCAUAUUAGUUUGUUUUUGGGGCGUGUAUUACUCUGCUUGGCGUUCUCUUUGCGUCCGCUAGCAUGAACAUCACUCGUUUGAACAUGGACCACAAAAUAUCACUCGAAAGUCUGCCUUCAUUUUGAUUACAAAGAGGAGAACGGAGUAGCACAGUGCAACAUCUGCGAAAAAAAACAGUUUCUCCCUUUUCUUUUGCUCACCAGGAGACAGUGCAUGCUUGCGUCGCGUCAGUGGUUUCGCCUAGAAGUGAGCAGAGGGGCAGAGCAGCAGAGAGCACUGACGCGCUGUACUGUUUUACAAUGAAUGAAUACACGUUCUGUUGGUUUGGCGUGGAGCUCCACCUCUCAGAGUGCGUUUCCAAAUGAGCCAUUGAACAUGUUUGGUAAAUACAGUGGUCUGUGAUGCCAAGAUAUAGUACAUGCCAAACAAACUCAAAACUAAGGAAGAAAAAAAAAUGGGCUUCCAUACAAAAUCCCAAACAUUUGAAGGAUUUUAUAAACUCUCCCCGGACAGGCCAGACAGACUCCCAAAAGAGGAAAUGUCCAGAUAAAAGAGUAAGUAUAGUCACCCUUUUAAACACCUCUGUAUUCAUGGUGUAGAAAUAACUGAGUGCCCUGUCUUUGAUGCGCUGCGCUGGUCUUGUUCUAACCAGUCAGAAUCAGAUAAGUAAAACAAUAAAUUACUCCUGUCUUCUGCGAACAUUAAAGUGAUAAAUGAAUUGUACUGUAUAAGAUGGGUCAACUUAAAUAUCCAACUAACGUUAACCUGUGUUCUUUUUCAUAAAUAAACUACUUGACAUCAAAGAUUGAUAUUUAUAUAUUGGUUGAAAAUAGCCUUGUGUGAAAUUUACAGUAAAGUUUAUAUCAUUUCAAAAUUCAUGGAGAAGUUCAGACAUUUCACUCAAAAGGAACUCUGGUUAAUGCCCUCAUUUAAAACAUGCAUUUUUUUAUCCUGCCUUUUAAAAGAAUCGAAAUAGAGAAUCGUUAGGAACCAGAAUUGAAACGAGGAAUAGUUUAAAUUUUAACAAUGCCCAACCCUACUUUUAAGACAAGUUUUAAAAGUGGACAGUGAGGGAGCUUGCCUAAUGUUUAAGGAAAGCUUGUUCUACAAUUUAGGAGCAGCAACAAGAAAUGUUUGUUUCCCUCUGAGCUUCCGUUUUGACCUUGGUACCUCCAGGAGCAGCAGGUCAGCCAACCUGAGGCACCAGACGAGAGUGUAGGGGUGAAGGAGCUCAGAGAGGAAAGGCAGGGCCAGACCAUGUAAAGAUUUAAAAACAAAUAAAAGAAUCUUAAAUUCGACUCUAAAAUGAACAGGCCUCCUGGCCUCCCUCCACUGGAGUCAUGUGCUCCCUCUUACAUACUCCAGUUAAGAGGCGAGCGGCUGCAUUUUGCACCAACUGGAGACGUGCAAGAGAGGACUCCAAAAUAAAGUGCAUUACAGUAAUCCAGCCGAGAUGUGAUGGAUUACUGUUUCAAAGUGCUGUUGUGCAAGGAAAGGCUUCACCUUUGUCAGCUGCCUAAUUUGAAAAAAGCUAGACUUCACUUCUGAGCUAAUUUGCCUGUCCAAUUUAAAAUCACUGUCUAUCUUAAAACCAAAGUUUGAGACUAUUGGCUUUAGAUAAUCAGCUAAAGGACUCAAGUCAACAGAAGGGAGUUCACAAGAACCCUUGGGCCCAAACAUUAUCACUUCUUUCUUUUUCUCACUGAAAUUUAAAAAAGUUCACGGCCAUCCAGGCUUUAACGUCACAAUCUGCAGGCAGCAGUGGAAGCUGGAUCACAAUUGCAAUAAUAGCUGCUGUGGGAGAUGGCACCACACACAAACUGCUCACCAGUUUGGUCUAAAAGCUGCACCCUGUCAGCAGAAGGAGCUCUGAAUGUUUUGCCUCAGUGUGGCUGAACACUCAUGGCAUUAGUUUUAAAUAGUCUAUGGGUGUGACUGGUUUCAGCGUCAAUUACCCCACAAUAAGAACCUCAUAUUUUAGGUUCACCUCUAUAUAAGGGAGUCUCUGGCUUGAUUGCCUUCUUGAUUGAGAUCAAUCAAGAGUUCCUACCUUGAUCAUUACCAUCCAGCACUAAAUAAAGGUGUCAACUUAUACUUAGGAAUUUUCCACUGGAUGGUUGAAUCAGAUUCUCCCACAUGUCCUUAAACAAAAGACACCCCAUAAUUCCCUGGGUGACCCCCCCAGGUCUCAAAACUCAAACGCCCUCUCGUCCAGGAACCCCCAAUCUGCAUUUAGCUCUUUAACUUCCUCCAGCUGGGCCCCCUACUUUCAUGAGCUCACCUCCCCCAAGCGACAAGAGGGCCCAGGUGCCUUCACCGAGCGAGACGUCUGGGUAAUUUGGCCCGACACAUCCUGACACACGUACCCUGCUCUUACACCAGGGGGAGGGGAGGGGCUGUGGACAUAAACCACUGUCUCAUUAGGUUUGUUUGGAUGAGAUGGGAAACCUAAUGAGAUGUGGUGUAAUGACUAAAAACAUCUGAUCUCAACCCGCUCCAAACAAAGCAUCUCAGUAAGGUCUGGAGUCAGGGCCAAAGUCAUAUCACAGCACACACACACACACACACACACACACACAUGCACGCACGCGUGUGCGCACACUCGGGGAAGGGAGAGGGGACAGUGAGGGAAUCCAAGUUCAAGCACUUCAGAAAAAGGACAGAGUCACAAAGGGAGCUAUCAGGAAAGGAGAGAAAGAUAAAGAUCUGAAUAAGAGUAAAAACAAAAACAACAAAAACUCUUCAGAUAACGUUUUUCAUAACUAAAACCAUUUUAUGUUUUUUUCGUUUGUUUUUCAAUUUGAGGUGAGAACUUUUAUUUCCAUUUAAUUUUGGUGUAUUCAGUUACUUUUUGGUGAUAUGGUGGCCCUGAAGGUCAAUUAUAUGAACACAACAAAAAAUAAAAAACAAAAUUAGGAAAAUAAAAUGGCGUAGGUCUCAGGCGUUAAAGAAUCGAAUUCAAAAAGGUUUGAUGAACUUUAUGAAUCAAUUAAUGGAUUGAAAAGGGAUACAUGAGCCACUUUAAACAGAGUUAUCAACACAGAAAAGCCUCUUGGUGUUAUAGAGGACCAGAUGUUAAGUGAUAGCACAACUCUGGAAAACCUUACAAAAGAAGUGGGCUCGUUGAUAAUGAAAUGAACCAACUUCAAUAGCAUUUGUACUGUUCAAACUGCGCCAUAAAUAUUUUAAAAGCGGCGACAAAGCAGGCAAAAUGAUGGCCUUGGGGUUAAAACAACACCAGAAUUGGCAAUCGAUAUCACCCAUAUGUGAUAGUACUGGUACAGUUAUUUUUGAACAAACGCAAAUUAACACAGCUUUCAGAGAUUUUUUCUGUAACCUGUAUCAGACUGAAGGAAAAACAUAUAAAUGAAAGACAUAUAGAAACAUUCUUAAAGGACAUUUCCUUACCAACUUAAAAAAAAAUAAGAUAGAGUAAGCUUGGUGACAACUGUAAGCGAGAGCGAAAUAUUAGCUGCUUUGAAAGCCUUUCCAACAGGGAAAGCACCAGGCAAUGAUGGCUUUUCUGUUGAAUUUUUAUAAAUGUUUUCAACAAAAAUUUUCUCCACUUCUUGCUUUAUUGUUUAAUGAUACAUUAGCCAAUCAAUCCAUGCCGUUAACUAUCCGCGAAGCCACCAUUUCCUUGUUGCCCAAACCUGGCAGGGAUCAUUCAAAUAUGUCAAUUUGUCGCCCUAUAAGUAUGUUAAAUAAUGACAACAAGCUUUUUGCUAAAAUUCUUGCUGUGCGCUUACAGACUGUCAUCUCCUCAUUAAUUCAUCUCAAUCAAGUUAAGUUCCAGUAGACUUGCCUCCAACAACAUGAGGAGACUUCUCCAUGUCAUGGAGAGAGUGAGCACUUUUCAGCAUCUAACUAUAGCCAUAUUGCUGGAUGCUGAAAAGGCCUUUGACAGGGUAGAGUGGCGAUACCUGUUUUAUGUUCUGUCUAAGUUUGCUUUUGGUCCAGUCAUUCUUAGCUGGGUGAGGGCCCUGUAUAACAAACCAGCUGUAUCUGAGCCCUUCCAACUCAAAAGAGCUACCUAGCAGGGUUGCCCAGCCUCACCAUCUCUUUUUGUUCUGGCUCUUGAACCUCUUGCAUGUGCUAUUCGAACAGAGAAGGAAAUCACUGGUAGCAACAUUGGGGGAUAUGAUUUUAAAGAUAGUUUAUUCACAGAUGAUUUGUUAUCAACAGUAUCACAUCCAAGUCAGUCAAUUCUGCAGGUGAUGAAAAUAAUUGAUGCAUAUGGAAGGUUCUCUGGUUAUACAGUAAAUUACAACAAGAGUGAAGCCAUUCCUUUCAACCACCUAACCUUCUCUUCUCACCUGGGUCCUGCCCCUUUUCAGUGGAAACCAAAUGGAAUGAGAUAUCCUGGGUUAAACAUAAGGACUCUUAUGAAAGACAUUUUUGAUUGAAAUGGUCCACACCUCCUGAAAAAGAUAAGGGAUGAUGUCAAGGGAUGCAACAGCGCACAUUUUGUUUUUGGUACUGGCACAAUGCAGAAUGUUUUCCACAUAGUAGGUCCCCACCCAGCUGUAGACCCAGGUUGAAGAUCUUGUGGAGAAGUUGACACAGUUCUGCAGCACAGUCUCUAAGCAACCUUGGACACACACCAUCUGGACCAGCUGCCUUUGCAGGGCAAAGUCUUCCAAGCUCCACCCUCACCCCUGUUUUGGUGACAGACAAGGACUGGUGUUCUAGGAGGGAGGCAGUUGAAGUGGUUGAGACAUUUGAAUGAGAUGGAGGAGGAACGAGAGAAGUUGUAGUGGAGAUUUGUUGCAGAGAGGAAGGUGGAGUAGCAGUGGAAGUGGGUGUGACAGCAGUGUCAAAUCUGUUGAAGAACAGGUUGAGUUCAUCAGCUCUUUCCAGAUCACCCACCACUGGCUGUCUUUUCUUUUUAUUGCUGUGUCCAGAGAUGGUACUGAUUCCUCUCCACACUUGUUUUCUCUAGUAGGACAGUUCACAAACUGUGUGAAUCCAGUCAGGUGAGAGGAGAGGGUGACAUGGUUGAAGUCUCCUGAUAUUAUUAUUGGUGCCUCUGGGUGUUGAGUCUGUAGCCUGGCAACACUAUUUUGCAGAACAUUGCAUGGAAUUUCUUCAGUUGAUUUGGGUGGAAUGUAAACAACUACUGUUAUGAUAUGACUAAA